GACUAGCGACUACUCUUCCCACUCGCCAGCAUGUAUAAGAUGGGUGGGGAGUGGACCGUAUAUCCAUACUUACCUGGACGGGGUCUAUGGGCGAUCAGAAAGGUCCAUGGCCUGGGCCCGCGGCCCACAUUGCACUUUGUGGGUGCGCUGGCCUACCAUCUCCCCAAGAGGGAGAGUGGACGUCAUAAUUUGUGGUAGAAGGGGGUACGCGCAACGCGCGGCCCCUGCCAAUUUAAAAUAUUUAAAUUUUGAAAAAAAAUUCACUUGCCAUUUUAAAAUAUUUAAAUUUUGAAAAGAAAUUUAUCUUAAAAAGUACUUUGAAUUUAAAGUAACGGUCAAAAUUUUUUAAUAUAUUUUAUUGAGUUACUAUGUUUUGAGUAGUGAGAUUUUUAACCCAGCUUAUAUAUGACUAUGGAUUUAAAAUGCCACAUUUAAUUAGCUAUAAAAUUAAUUUGCAACUAAUCAUAUUUUAAAAAAGAUUGUAGGUCGCAAGAUGAGGACAAUAAAGAUUAAUGAAAUGAUUAUAGUGGUAAUAAUCGAAGUAUUGGUUCCUCAGAUUACUUGAAACGCGUAAUAGCACCGCCGUGGCCCAUAUCCUCGGGGUUCACCGGCCCAUGACCGGCCCAGUUAAACUCUGGCCCAGUUCUUCAAACCGAUUGGUUGGACCCACUAACACGGAAUAUUAUGUCCUCAUCCUGGUCCAUAAGGUCAGAUUUGGACCGGGCCCAUGCUCCCAUCCUUAACCGUAACAAUGGCAGGUGGUUCACGGGUGAGGUGUUGGGUUCGGGUCACGAAAUUGACAAAUGCGGGCCCCGCUUGUCCGUUACGGCCUUAAAACCGUUACACAAAUUACCACCCUCAGAUCACCAAUCAUCAAACGCCAUCAUAACGAUCCCACACAGAUACUCACGUGGCAACAGCUCGGCCGUUGCUGGGACAGUUUUAUUCCCAGAUGGAGAAACACCGAAGUGUUACAUCGGAGAUUUUUUUUUUUUUUUUUUGCGCUUCUUUUCCGCGCUUUUGGAAAAAGAGGCGGAAUUAGUGUGGGAGUGGAUGUGUGCACGAGGAAACCCCUCCAUUUAUUAUCCUCUCCCUCCUCCUCGACGUCCUCGUCCUCUCCCCUCUCCUCUCUCCUCUUUUGCUUCUAUGACGAGUAAUCCCCGAUAGGUGGUAUUCCAUCUAGGGUUUCACUCCGAUCUCCAAGCUCGUUUCCUUUCCAAUGGCGAUGGGGGCCGUGCUCUCCAGUAGAAGCUUCGUUUCUCCUCUCGUCUCAGGUUUGGUCUCAAACCAUCCGUCUCUUCGUGUUUCGGUUUGAAGCGUAGGAAAGUUCAAAUAUCGUGUCCUUUAUGGUGUUAUGCGUUGAGAUGUGUAGUAGGAUUAUUGGGUCACGUAUGGAUGCUGGUGUCCAGUAAAUGAGGGCCUAAUUAGUAACUUUAAUUGGUUGAGUUAAUUGGGAGAAAGUCGAAUUGAUUUGAUUUUGCUUGCAUCUACUGAUAAAUUUCGUGCCUCGAAUUAGUUAGGAUGGUAAUUUUUUAUUGCAGUAGUUGUGAAAUUUGAAGCUUGGUUCAUGUUAACCCUGUAUGACCUUUUCAGAAGAGGAGGCUUUUCGUGCUUAUGCGAAGCUAGUAAUUAGCCAUCAUUUUUAAAUUGGUGACAGCUAACGGGUUGAACUUGUGAAGAAGCUCCCCCUUAAAGAAUUGACUAAGUUUUUCAAUUAGCUUUUGGCAAGUUGGUGUCAGAUUGUGGUAGGAAAAGCUGCAUUAGGGAGAGAGGGCUUGCUAUAAAGAUUUAAAAAUUUGUCCCCAUCUUUCAGGCACUAAAAAGCCCAAUCCAAAUAAAGUUUUUUUAACAGCAUUCAGAAACAGCAGUUUGUUUUGGCAAAAAUCGACGGUAGUUGACUUUAUAAAUUUUGUUUUGAUUCGUGACCAUUCUCAGAGCGAAGUACUUGGCCAUCACCAAAAACCAAAUAAGUGGGUCAACUUGCUCACAAUUAUUAAAGAUUAAAUGCUAUUAUCCAUGUCCUACAUAUGUUCUGCAAUUGAUGCCUCAUGCUUGGAGAUGUCAACUUGACGUUUUUGAAGGUUUGGGACUCGUGGUGACUAGUCUGGAUGCGUAAAGUGCUAAUCAAACUUAUGGUCUGGCUAUUUCUAGUCAGUUUGGCAUUCAUAACAUGUGUGCAUGUUCGGUUCAAGCAUGCUAGUUACAUGAUAUUGCAUCUCUCUUUCCUGGUUAAUGUAUUAUACUGAUUUGUAGAAUUUUACUUUCUUAUUUCAAUCUUUUAUCAUGUGAGCACAGCUGUUAUCAAAAUUAAACAACUCGCGUUACUUAAAGGCAUUAGCUCGAAUGAUGAGAUUUUAUGAUUUGUAAUGGAGGACAUGUCACUUGGAUUCUAGCAAAGUUCAUAAACUUGAAGGUAUCUAUGCAGGAAAAGAGUAUCGCUUGAAACGGACUACUGCACAUGAUAGAAAAGCACAUUCCCCAUCUUCUGCAGAGCAAUUUGUGUGGGGUGGGAUUUAUAUCUUGUCUGCUCGAAGAGAAGACUCCUAUAUUGCUAGGAGUUCCUUCUUCCCAAGUCGUAUAUCUUGUACUUUAGGCAACACUAUCAUGAUGAAGAGACUUGUAUCACUUGGCGAGCUACGAUACCCUCUAUCAAAUUCUUUAGGGAAUGGAUCUACUGGAAAGAUGCCUAAUAUCAAUUUCAAGAGAAGACUUCGGGCAAGAACAGAAUGCUUUAUUUCUUCAGAUCCGACAAAUAAUAGUUGGAUACAACAAGGAAAGUUGAACAAUAUUGGCAGAUACCGGUUGGCAAUUAGAACUCGUGCCGACUUCAAAUCAGAGCAGUAUGAAAUAACAGGACCACAACCUGAGUCAUUUAGUUCUUCAGAAGCAUCAAGUGAAGCAGUUUUACCUGGAGGAAAUGUGAGGGAUGUAUCUAGAUGGUGGGAGCAGUUUCCUAAACGUUGGUUGAUCGUGCUCUUAUGUUUUUUUGCAUUCCUGCUCUGCAAUAUGGAUCGUGUAAGUUUGUUAUUGUAUACCAUACACUUGUUGACAAUACCAGUAGUCGUAACUUCAAAAGAAGAUCCAUUUGGCAGCCUUUUAUGUAGAUUGCCGCAGUCUUUGAUAGUUUCUUCUUUUCUUUUUCUGAAGCUGGUCAAGUGUGGUGCAGGUAAAUAUGAGCAUUGCAAUCCUUCCAAUGUCGGCAGAGUUUAAUUGGAAUCCAGCAACUGUUGGCUUAAUUCAAUCAUCUUUCUUUUGGGGCUAUCUUCUUACUCAGGUCUAUCUUCAUUCCUUCCUUUCCUUUUUUCUCUCAUACAGAUGAAAAAUACGUAGGCACGCACACCCUUUUACUGGGGAUUGACAGACACUUGAUCGUCCUCGAUUUUCAAGAAUUAUGUCUGCUUCCAGUAAGGUUGUAGUGAGGGGGCACAUAAAACAUAGAGAAUGAUCAUAUUCUGAUCACUUAUAGUCUGUUACAAACUUUCAGGACAGUAAAUUUUUUUUUUAUUGAGCAAUUUUUUGCUGAAUAUUUUGUCUUCAAUUCUAAGACUAAUCACAUGAAUUAACCAUUUUUUUUUCUUCCAUCAAUGCUUUCAAUUCUUUGUACCUGGUAGUUCUUACCUAAGGUGUAUUUUCUGAAAUUUUUGAGAAAAGGUAGGGGCAAAGAGCCUCUGCCCAGUUCAUACCUAAUGUGUAUUGUACUGCCAUGGACAUCCCUUUUUACAUUGUUGGGUUUCUGGUGUCGACAGAUCGUCGGAGGUAUUUGGGCCGACAAGAUUGGCGGCAAGGUAGUGUUGGGCUUUGGAGUUGUAUGGUGGUCAAUCGCGACAAUACUUACCCCACUGGCUGCCAAGAUAGGCCUUCCCUUUCUACUUAUUAUGCGUGCUUUUAUGGGGAUUGGUGAGGUUGGUUUCUUCUUUCACCUUGACCUUUUGAUUGUUACACCUAGAGGACAAUCAUUUUAGGACCUGUCAGAAAGUUGAAGGGGAUAAUGCUGUUCUCAGUUUGUUGACUUGUCCUCUCUGAUAUUUGAUACCUGUCAGAUCAUUUUAUAAGUAUCUUUAUAAUGUAAUGUCAUUUGUAGUUGACGCAGCUGCUCUUUUCUUGGAUUAUAAAAUUUUCUGCUCUUCAUUUUGAUGCCUAUGUAUAAUAUAUCAACGAGGCAAUUUAUUUCCUUGCAGGGUGUUGCUAUGCCUGCUAUGAAUAACAUACUCUCCAAAUGGAUUCCAGUUUCAGAAAGGAGCAGAUCGCUUGCAUUAGUCUAUAGCGGGAUGUACCUUGGUUCUGUCACAGGACUGGCAUUGUCACCAAUUCUAAUCCACAGAUUUGGAUGGUCUUCUGUUUUUUAUGCAUUUGGGUCCCUUGGAAGUAUCUGGUUUGCUCUGUGGCAAUUAAAAGUAAGCCAUGAUUUUUAUUUGCUUCUGACCUUCUGAUAACUCAUAAUCUAGCAAUCUGCCGACUUUCUAUCCAUUAUGCAUUUCGAGUCCCUCAAAUGUUUCUGGUUCUUAUUUGGCCAGUUGAAGUAGGGCUUUAAUUUAUUUUACACUUAUUAAUUUGAUUUCUCUUUAGGCGCACAGCUCUCCACAAGAAGAUCCAGAGCUUAGUUCAGUUGAAAAACAGCUCAUCUUAGGGGGAAAUGUGCUGAAAGAACCUGUUACCUCUAUACCAUGGAGACUAAUUCUAUCGAAGGCUCCAGUGUGGGCCCUCAUAAUAUCACACUUUUGUCAUAACUGGGGCACUUUUAUCCUUUUAACAUGGAUGCCCACAUAUUACAAUCAGGUGAUUGCUAUUUCAUGGUUCUGGAUGUUUGUGUUGUUUCUUUAUCAAACUCAUAGGGAGUGUUUAACAGAAAACAUUGUCUCCCUUACUCUUGAUGCUUGUCAAUAACUAUAAAAUUAUCUUUUUCUUAGUAUUGUAUAUAACUAAUAAUUGCAAAAGUCAAUGUUCAAUUGAUUGUACUCAGGUGUUGAAGUUUAAUCUUACGGAAUCUGGGCUAUUCUGUGUGUUACCAUGGUUAACCAUGGCUGUCUUUGCGAACAUAGGAGGGUGGAUUGCAGACACAUUAGUUGCAAAAGGACUUUCAAUAACAACUGUUCGUAAAGUAAGUUUUUUAUGCUAUCGAAUUUUUAUCUUAUGCAGACAAUGGUGGUAGUGCUUGAUCUCAUUUUAUAUAUUAUUGAAUGGUCCUUUUGUCCCAGCAAACUAAAUUUUUUUUAGGUGUGUACAAGCUCAUCUUUGUGCAAACUGUUGUGUAAUGCUUGAAAUGAUUUUGCCAUACAAGUUACUUAAAAUUUUACCCACCCAUUCGUUUUCACUCUUCAGACAUAAAAUAGCAUACUUCUGAUUGUAAAGUUCACUUUGGAUCGUCAAUCAUCAUUCCUUGAUAUCUGGAAUUUCUUAAUAUUUCAUUAUCUACUUUAUCUAUCUAGGAGAAUACUGCGAUCAAAACAGCUGCAAGUGUGAAUUUCUGGUGCUGAGGUUGAUUUUAAUUUGCUGCCUCAUUGCAGAUAAUGCAAUCAAUUGGCUUUCUUGGUCCAGCUUUCUUCUUGACACUGCUCAGCCAUGUCCGUACACCAGCUUUGGCUGUGCUUUGUAUGGCAUGCAGUCAGGUUUGAUUUGCUUAAUAGCUUUCUUAUAAAAAAAAAUUAUUUGCUAUUUGUUGAGAUUUUAUAUAAUGCCUGGCAUUGUUGCUGUUUCGUUUUAUGAAGUCCUCAUUUCUCUUUCCUCAGUUCUUCUUGAAUGAUCCAUUUUCUUUCAAAGAGCAAAGUUUCUUUUAGGGAACUGUAUUUGAAUCAAGUUAUUUGACUUGAUAUUAUUUACUUAUAGCCGGUGCAUUCUUGAUAUUAUUUGGUUGGUUUUUAAGGCAAAGUUUUCUUUUUUCUUUUCCAGGGCAGUGAUGCAUUUUCACAAUCUGGUCUUUAUUCCAAUCACCAGGAUAUAGGACCGCGUUAUGCAGUAUGUUCUUUCCAUUCGUUUUUGGUGCUGUCGUGCUAACGCUUACUGGCAAAAGGAUAUAAUAUUAGUCACAUGAAUAAAGGCUAUAAUAGUCAUGCUAAUGCUUGCUUCUUGAGUUCAUACAACUGAUAGUCAUUAUUAGCCGCACGUCAAGUAAAAAUGCGACGCGGUCUCUUCUGAUGCUCUUAACUGUUCUGAAUUGUCUACUUUGUAUAUAGUCAAUUGCCAAUAUAAUGAUGUGCUAGCACAUAUGAAAAACAAUUUGAUGUUUUGUAGAUUUAUAGGAAGUUUCUCGCUUAUGCCUUUCGACAAAGAAAGAGAUCUUCUUUCUUCUGCUCAUCCUUCUAAUGUAGUUGUAUCCUAAAAUGGAUAUGUUUUGAAAAUUAACAGGGAGUGCUACUAGGGUUAUCGAACACUGCUGGGGUGCUUGCAGGAGUUUUUGGCACUGCCGCGACCGGCUAUAUCCUACAAAAAGGCAAGGAAAUAGCAAAACCGAUACACAAUCUCAUUUUAAACUUAUUUAAUUUAACACUAGUUUACACAACACUUGCAUCUUUAUACUAAUAUUAUCUUUUCUUCACACCAUAUGAAUUCUACAGGCUCAUGGGAUGAUGUAUUUAAGGUGGCUGUUGCCCUCUAUAUCAUAGGCGCAUUGGUGUGGAAUAUCUUUUCAACUGGAGAGAAAGUUCUCGACUAAAACAGAAGCAAGCAGUAAAUGCUGCUAUACCAAAUCAAAGGUUUUGCUAACAUUUACAUGUGCAAAUACAAGAAUGUUGAUCAUCUUCAGCGACAAACCCUUGACAAAUUUGACUUUCGCAUUUGAAAACGAAGAGAUGUGAUGUCACAACAGCUAGAUGGCAUGGCAUGAGUAAAAUGGCAUAGUCGCAAAUAAGUAAUUGUUGCAAAAACCUAUUGCAGCUAUGAGAUGCUGCUCUCUAUGAAUGUUUUCAGCGAGUCGUCUUCUUUUUUUGCGGUUGAGGGGGUGCAAAAAAUAUACCAACCUCUGAGUUUCUAUUUUCGUUGUUUGUAAAUUUUAAAUACUCGGCCAUGCAUCUUGGCUCUAACUUGAGUUGUGAGAACAAGUCAUAGCCAUAUGCAUGUGUACUUGACAGCAUAAAGCUUCAAGAGAGUUUUAGGCCUGGGAAGCUUAAAUUAUUUUUAUGUAAUCUUUGAAGAUUUUAAUGACAGUUAAAUUUUUCAUAUCAUCUUCUAUGCAGCAGAGGGGUUAUGUUCUGUACCCUUCUGCUCAAAUUUAUGCUUAACAUGAACAGAAGCAUCACACUUUCUUUUCAUUCCUUUGUACAGUUAGAUGAGAUUGUAUCUGCAGCUAGUUAUAAUCUUCAAUUAUUCGACUUACAUUUUCAGGUGAUAGGCCUUUAAUGUGAUGCAGACGAUACCUGCGCGAACCAGAGAGCAAUUUUGGGCCUAUCCUGUUAAGGCCCAAAGUGACUUUUCUGGUUCGAAAACCUCACACGAAUAAAUUUGGGCCCAAUAGGCCUUCUCUGGUGCCCUGCUCAAUUUAGCCCCGUUAGCUAACACCCUUUACACAGUUGCAAUCUACAAAAAGCUCCGGUUCAAAAGUCGCGAUCAAGCCUCAGUUAUGCAAAUUUGAAUCAAAUAGAAGAAAAUAAAGAUAUGGAGUUCGGAGUCCGGAAAGACUUGAAACUGAUCAGAACAUCUCUCUUGUAUGCUGAAAGCUAAAAGUGUGAUAAUUUAUGUAAACAUUUUACUAUCAGGAAACUACACACACACACACACACAAAUCCUAACAUGAGAAAAAUAAAUGUAGUGUCACGCUCCAGAAACUUUAGAGGGGAAAUUAAUGAACGGAGAGAUAGCGCCAGAUGCCCAUAACAUGACUUGGGGUGAUGAUGAUGCUACAAGAUAGGGAAGUGGAUAUCUAUAGGUGGAUUCGAGGCAUUAAAAAUUGUGCAAACUUAGCCUCACAUUAUUGGUUGGGUGAUGAUGUAUUGAUGCUAACACAAUACAACGAACGAGGUGCAUAGGACAAAAGGGCAUCUCAAGGAGCAUUACUGUACACACAAACACCCGGGCCCACGGUUUGGACCCACUUUGCUUUUUAUGGCAAUUGACUAGGUUCGAUUCUUGGGUCACUUAGUCUAACCAUAACUGUUGUAGGGAACCUCAAAAGACCCCAUAUGUAUAUAUAUAUAUAUAUAUAUAUAUAUAUAUAUAUAUAUGUGCAAUUUUCUAUAUAUAACCAAUUCAUUAUCUCCAACAUGGAAUAUUAGAUUUCGAUUCUAUAAAAUCUAUUGCUGUAGGAAAAUCCAUUUUAAUACAUUUUUAUUCUAUUUUUCUUUUUCAAUACUGGUUUCUGCACGAAGCAUAAUUUGAAUUUGAAUUUUUUAGACCAGAGUGGAUGCCAGUAGUAAUUAAGUUCUGAUCUUCACAGUUGGUGGUUGCAUUCGAUAUCAUUUUGGACUUAGGAACGGAUGUGUCUUAAUCCUAACGCAGCGAUCAACUCAUGUCGGCAAAGAUAAAAUUUAUGCGACGGUGUGCAGCUUUUGGGAGGAGGGGGGGGAGGGAGUCUAUCAUGAGACAAAUUAAGCAGCAUUUAUUUGUGUAUGAUAAAACAUUUCUUAUUCGGCCUUUUAUAGCUGCUGAUAUGUUGGCUAUAUUGUAUAAAUUAAUUAUUGCAUAUCAUUUGAUUGUUAGCACAUGUCAUUAGUAGCUAGGAUCUUAGGGGUUCUAUCAUGAGACAAAUUAAGCAGCAUUUAAUUGUGUAUGAUAAAGACAUUUCUUAUUCGGCUUUUUUAUAGCUGCUGAUAUGUUGGCUUUAUUGUAUAAAUUAAUUAUUGCAUACAAUUUGAUUGUUAGCACAUGUUAUUAGCAAGGAUCCUUGCUAGCUAUGUGGCACUAUUGUCUCCGCCAUUUUUGUAGGCAUAUAUCAUUUCAUAAGAUAUUUAUUUAUUUAUUUGAGAAAACAUAUAUAGUAUGCUAUCUAUUUUAUUUUUUAAAAAUAAAUUUAGCUAAAAAAAUAUAACAGUUCGUUAGGCUUCGAACUUGAGAUCUUAGAUACCAAUCAUCAAAUUUUUUAUCACUUAUAUUAUAAAUAGUCAGUGCAAAUAUUCAUUAAUUAAUCAAUCUUUUAAUUAGUGAGGUCGAAAUAUAUAUCACUACAACAAAAACGGUCUAUAGCGACACUUUUAAAUAUAGGUACAUGUCAAAAAAGUGCUGCUAGCUAAAAUUACCGACACUUUUAAAAAGUGUUGCUAUAUGUGGGGUCGCUAGGUAUAUAGUGACAGUUAAAGAAUGUCGCUAUAACCUAAAAGAGUGCUGCUAAUUUACCAACACUUAUUUAAGCAUUUAACAACCGCCGAAACUCUAUCUCGUUGGCUGCGGUGGCCGAGGAGGACGACAGAAAAGGCUCUUCGUCUAGAAUUUCAGUAGAUUGAGUGAAGAGAGAAGAAAAGAUGGCAAUUGAUUUUUCUUUUUUUUUUUUUCUUUUCUGUUUGUAAUCGGGCCAAAUGGACUGGGUGUGAUGGGUUGAGUAGAGUAAUCUUUUAUUUUUGGUUGGAUUGGGCUUUAUAUUUAGGCAUUAGCAAAUAUUUUUUUAAAUUUUAACAUAAAUGAAAUACUUACUCAAAAGUGUCCCAAACAUAUGUCCCUAUAACUUAAUUGUGUUGUAGUAUAUGUUACCAAAUCAACAUGGGCAUGUAGGUUUCGUCACCAAACGUGAUAUGGAUGACACAACUUAAUUUGAGACUCCUCAUUGUCCGAUUACCAAAGAGUAUGAAACACAUGGGGUUUGGUGCACUCCAGAUUUCAUCUAAUAGUUACAUGCACCAACAUAUAUAGAAAUUAACAUAAAAAAUAUUAUUAAUGUGACAAGUUGUUAGUCCAAAAAGACCAUAUAUAUUUUAUUUAUUUACAUAAUAUGCAACAUCAACAACGUAUGGGACGAAUUAGCAACCAAAUCACAUGGCGACAUAAAAUCACCUAAAAUUGUAUCUCAAGUGAAUGAAAUGGUAGAAAAUAUUACUCUCAAUUUUGUACGCACGCAAAUGGAUGCAUGUGUACGUUUGAUCGACAUCCUACAUGCUAAGAGUGUUACAUAGAAUAUUUUUCACAUGUGAAAAAUUUAGUUCUAAGCCACAAAAUUGUACUCUCCCACGAUUCUGUAGAGUACCUCAAUUGCUAAUUUUUAAUGUCUUUUAUAUUUAUUAUACAUAUAAAGCGUAAGUUUUAAACAUUAAUAAAAAAAAAAUCUCAUUAGUAGGCUCGGUAAGAGGUUAAGAGGAAAAUUUUAAUUAUUACUAGUGCUACUAUUAUUGUUAUAUAUUAUUAUUUAAAUUAUACUAUAGUUUUCAAAGAUAUAUAUAUAGUUCGUACAGUGACGUACUAAAACCAAACGUAUAUAGUUUGUAUUAAUCAAUGCAUUAAAAUACGAUCAACGGUUGGCGAGUGGCGACUGAGAUAGCUCAGCUAUUUAUAUGCGUUCAUUUAUUAAUCGGUGUAUAUGGAGCUGUGGCGCGCAACACCAAAACAAAAAGCAGUUGUGGGCCCAUCAGAUGACGUGGCACCUGUAGAUGCGUUGGAUUUGGGACAUGACAGUCACAUCGAAGUGCUUUUCACUUUCCCCUUUUUUUUUUUUUUUUUUUAAACUAGAUUUGGUGGGCCCCAGUGAUGUGUUAUGUGUAUAUAUUUAUGUUUGUGCAGCUCAGAAGCAGCUGUAGCAGCAAGCGGUUUUCGUAAAUACCGGGUUUUUUGGAAAAGCGGUUUUCUAAAGCUGUUUUGGGUUUAUCUAGUCGUAAUUUGACCUAGAAUUUAGAAUACAAAAUUGGGUUUCAUCACUAACUUUUAAGUUUGUUUAGUUUAAUUAAUUUGAUGGAUCUUUUAUAGUCAACAAUUAUGAUGCAUUAUUUGCUUCAGCAAAGUUGACUGUAGUUUUUUAUGAUUCACGCACACUCGAAUUUUAAAGCAGAAAAGCGGUCUAAUGUCGAAAAUUAAAAGAACGAAAAGAUUAGAUGGUAAAUAACAAAUUCUAUAAAUUACAAAUUGAUGCGCCACAUUUCAAAUUAAUUUUAGCUACUGUGAAGGCAAAUUCUCUCAACUAAUGAAAUUUUUUUCAAUUGUUUUCAUUUUACGUUAUUUCUCAAAAAAUUUUAAAACUUUUCAACUCAAUUCGAAACUCAAUUGAUUCAAGUCAACACCAAAAGUAUCAUGGAGAAAGCUUUCUCCUUUUUAAGGGGUGGGAUAUGUACAUGCAUGUUGCCUUUGUGAAUUGUGAUGUGACAAAUUCUCUCAAGCUAGACUCCUAUAGAAUCUUUUCGUAUACGCUAAGUCCUAACCCAUGCAUGCACCCACUUGCAAAAUGUAGCAAUUAAUCUUGAAUUUAAAGAAGAGUCUUUUUAAAAAAGAAAUUUUGAAGAGUGAUUGCCUAGGCUUCACCAUGAUCGAGGCCCUAGGCAAAAAUUACCUAGAGGAAUAAGAUGCACCAAGCUCUUGCGACUCCAAAACGAUCCUCGAAGAUGUGAAUUCGAAACAAUAUUCCAAAUUUAUCCAGGACAAGUGCAAAUGAAUCUGAAUAUUUGUGACUUUCUAAUCGAACAUGCAACAUGCUGUCGAAGAAUUAUUGGUACGACAAUUGCGUUUGGCUCGACAUGGGCACGACAAUUUUAGGACAAUUUUUGUAGCAUCUAGUGUCUCAUAGGUGAUAUCCGCCGAGUACGAAAGUGAGGCCCACAAAAAGGAAGGAUCUUUUACCAAUCAAUGCCGCAACACAAAACAAAUAAGUAAAUAAAAAUACAAAAGACACUACAAGAUCUUCCAAAAGAUUAAGUCCCGAAAAAAAAGUAAGUGGCCAACAACAUUGAUAGAUAAAAGAGCUUAUUGAUGCGAAGGCUUGUUGAAUUUGUUGCUCAAAAUGAAGGUCGAUCGAUAUUGUGCAAUUUCCUUUAUUCCCAAAUCUUUUGAGUGGAGGGAUUAAGAACGAAGUGGGGCAUCAUCAACUCUAGAUCCAAUUUAAUCUCGCGUCAUACUAGAUAACAUUCCCUUUGCCCUCACUUUAUUUUAUUUUAUUUUAUUUUUUCUCUUUAGUUCAUGAUAGCAUAUAUAUAUAUAUAUUGGAGAGAUCCCUACGUAAAAAUUUUAAAAUAAAUAAACAUAGUGUACAACAAAAUGUAGGUGCCACAACUUUCUAUAGUACGCAUCUUGCUCUACUAUUCUUUUUAGGCUUUAUUUGGAUGCCCGAAUAAGUUAUUCGGUAUGAAAAUAAUUUUUUGUGUAAUUAGAGGUAAAAAUUUGAUUUUUUUUGCUUUAUAUAUGUAUAGGCAUUUGUAACUUAAUAGGAUAGAAUAUUUUAUAUACAAAAUAAUUUAUCUUAUUUAAAAAAAUAAUUUGAAGGCCGAAUAUAAUUUGAGAUAUACAUAUAUAUAUAUGUUUGACCACACUCCUAACUUUCAAUUGUAAUAAAAGAUGUUCAUAUCAAAUUAAUAAAAUAUCACUGAGUGACUUAUUUUGAUAUUCAAACAGAGCUUAAGUUUAGAGUUAUGACACUAUAUAUAUUUUUCGCAUGCAUGGGAAAAUGAUAUCUCAUAGAUGAAAUUUCUUUCGCACGGAAGAAAAGGACCACCCUAAUUAAGUAGAGAGCUGUAGUUUGAAAAUGUCAAUUAUACUUUUCAGAAGGGUUAUGUCAUAAAUAGUUUAGAGAAAUAUUUAAUAAUCCAGUUAGGAUUUUCGCCAGAAAAGUUCUAAUUUAUUUUAAAAAAUAAGAGUGUUUUCUAACUGAAUUCUCGUAGUAUCUUAUACCCUAUAUUAUAUAUAAAUAUAUAUAUAGAGGGGACUACUUACUCUGAGACCUAUAUAGGGUUUGAGAAUAUGUCUCAACGAUAAAAGGAAACAUCUCUUGUUAAUUUUGUUCAAAAACUCCACAAAAUUUUGAUGGAGCAAGUUAUUUCUUGUUAAAGUAGAAUUUUUUGGAAUGAUGAACACACUAGUUAUGUUCAUAUGUAUAUAGUUAAUAUUAUGAUAUUGAAAAGCAAUAGUAGUUUAAACAGCGUCUAUGUAUUAUAAUAAAGUGCAAUAUAUAUAUAUAGAGAGAGAGAGAGAGAGAGAGAGAGAGAGAGAGAGAGAGAGUUUUGCUAGAAUACUGUCGGUAGUAAACAGCUCGGUUUACUACUGAUUUGUUUUUGAUGAUGGAGCUUCCAAAUUGAUGAUCGGCACCGUUAAACAUGAUCUAAACUAUUUAAACUAUUUGAAAAUCCAAUUUCACACAUUUUCGAUAUUGUUCUCUUGUCCAUCAAGUAAACAGAAAAAUAAAUGACUGGAAAUGAAUAUCCUUCAAAAAGUGAUAAUACAAUUUUUAUAUUUGAGAUCUAGAGUCUAGAUCUUAUUUUAAAUAAUUUAAAGAAUUUUUAACAAAAAUUUAGUUGAUUUGAACUCUUCUAUACCGUUAAACGAGCAAACGCACCAUAUCGGCCAUUAAAAUUAUAGAUUUUGUGACCCUUUGAUCGUUCAGUUAGUGAUGUCAAAAAAUCAUGAAAUUUGAUUUCUAGAUAAUUUAAAUGGUUUAGAUCAUGUUCAACGGUGCCGAUCGUCGAUUUGGAAGCUUUAUCAUAAAAAACAAAUCGGUAGUAAAUCGAGCAGUUUACUACCGAUAGUAGUCCAGUCAAACUCUCUCUCUCUACAUAUAUAUAUAUAUAUAUAUAUAUAUAUAUAUAUGAGUCCGGUUGGGAUACUAUCGAUAGCAUGAAGUAUUUGGUGCUAUCAAGUUUUCUACCGUUAGAUUUACCUCUUUUAUCAUUUUCAUCCGUUCGAUUAUACUAUUUAACCAACCACCCACUCAACCCUAGUGGGCCCACAUUAUCCUAACCGCACAUCUUUUAAUCUAAGGGCAGAAAACUUAAUAGCACUAAAUCAUUGGUGCUAUUAAUAGUAUUCCAGCCUAGUUCUAUAUAUAUAUAUAUAUAUAUAUAUCACUACUAUUCUAAUGGAUUUUAUGCAAGUCUAAUAAGCAUCCAUUCUCCUAAAAGCAUCUUAUUAAAUAUAAUAAUAUUCUUUAUUAUGAACCACCAUAUGAUCUAGAGUUGUAAGAUACGUAGGAAUUUUCGCCUUAUGUCCAACACAAGUGGAGAGAACUCUUUAUAGUGAAUGUUUAAAUAGAGACUUCUUAAUGUUUUGUGUUCUUUUUAUACAAAUCUAAAUUCGGUGUUUGAUUUUAUAUGUUGAAUUCAACUUCUUAGAAAUGUAUGAGGAGACUCAACUAUAGAAACUGUAACUACGCCUAAAUUGGCGGCUGUUCUAGUUGAAAAGAAUAACUUGAAACAAAAUGUUAGCUUACUUUCCUAAUAACUUUUUAAAUAAAUGAAUAUAUUUUUUUCUCUACAUUGUAAAUAAUCAUACCACAUAAAAUGAUAAAAUUAAAUUGCACUUUUAAUUAUAUGUAACCAAAUAAAUUAUUUAUAUUUGCAGUGUUUCUACUACAUUCAACCAAAUAAAAUAUAUAUAAUUAUAAUUACUAUAUUUUUAACUAUAUGCAUUUAUAAUUAUAUUGUAUUGCUUAUUAUAUCCAACCAAACAGUAACAAUAUAGAGGAAAAAUUCUGUAUUGCGGUCCAUAUACUGGUAUUCCCAAAACUCAAACCUAGAUAUUAAAAUAUACAUAUGUUGCUCAACACAUAGUAAAAGAGUUCUAAAAAUUAUUAUUUAUUUUUUAAAAAAAUUAAAAUGUUGCAGAUCAUAUUUUACUUUUUAUCUUUAAUUUAUGGUCUCUUUAAUAUUUAUGGUGUCUAUGCUCGGGUCUUUGAGAUCCUCGUGUAUAGACCUUGUUGCAUCGAGCAAGUUCUUCAACGAUAAGAGUCAAAUUAGGAAACUUAUCAAGACCGUUGAGCGAUAAAUGGUUUAGGUUUGGAAUAGUCUCCAAUGUGAGACAGCGUGAUCAGACAUUUAUACAACUUUAAUUUUCGAGCAAUGACAUGAUAGAUUAUAAAUCACGCAAUCUUGCAUUAUGAAUUUUAUUGUCAUUAAGUUUUUGUACAAGGACACCUGAUUGACAUGUUAACCGCACACGUGGUAUAUAGUAAGGUUUUUCUUUUUUUCUUUUUCGACGGAGAUCAAGAGACGGGAAAUGUUAAAUGCAACUCAAUUUUUUUAGGAAUUCUAUAUUAUCACACUUGCAUUAUGUUAUUAAUAACAAAUCAAUCAUAUUUUUUUCUUUUCAAAUAAAAGUACAAUAAAAAUAUUUUUUUACAAUCAUGAUGGGACAUAUACUUCUAAAAAGAGACAUUUGAUUGGUUUGUUACGUUCUGUCGCCAAUAUAACUGUUGCAUUCUAGAUUUUUUUCUUUUUUUAUUUAUUUUUUUUUGUGUGGCUGUGGAGAGCUGAUUAGGUUCCCUCAUUCAAUUGAAGUUCGUACAUAAAAAAUUACAUAUGUUGACUCUGUCUCUUAAGAAAAAAACUUGAAAGGGCUAUUUUAUAUAUUCCCCAUAAUGUGGUUUCUAUAUAUCUACACUUUUCAUUUUUCCGGAAAAAAAGACAAAAAAAAAAACCUUAUGAGUUUAACCUGAUAGAAAUAAAUAACUUGCACCUUAUGUACGGAUUAGUUUUUUUUUAAUCAAAUUUAAGCCUAUCACACCAAGCCGAAUUAAGGUUCAAAUUUUUUAUGUUUAAUUUUAAUAUUAAUGAUUAGAUUUAUAAAGUCUAAUUGCUAUUCACUAAGCUAAUUGAAUCUUACCAAAUUCGAUGAAUCUUAUCUGAUUCUAUUAAACACUUAUUUGAGGACACUACUUCUAGUAAAUAUUUAAAAGGGAGGGAUAUGAUUGGUUUCUUAAUUUUUAGUUAGAAAUGUAGCAAGGCCCCACUUCGAUCAUUUUUGUUAGAAAUCAACUCAGUUAAAAAUAUAAAGUAUUUAGGUUUUGAAUUUGGAACAUCGAAUAUCAAUUAUUAAGUUUUUAACCAACUGUGCUCGGCAUGUUCAGUUAUGGUUGGUAUUAUGUUAAGCAUGUUGAGUCAUGAACAUUGAUCUAUAUAUUGGCCAUGUUAAAAAAGGUUUUUAUUGUUCUUACUUGUGUAUUGUAUGAUUUACCUACUCGCUCUCUCUCUUCUCUCUCUCUCAUAAAUGGCUCGAAGUAAAGUCAAACAAUAAAUGGCCAUGUCCCAAGCCCAAGGAAUUAAAUUUGUUGGUUUUUUUUAGAUCUUGGAUCAGAGGCCAACCCAGUAAUGAAUUGUUUCCCAUAAAUGUGGACAAUAGAUAAAUUUAAUCCUUUUUUUAGCCGCCUCAAUUUUUUAUUGUGCAUGCGUAGUGGAUUGUAAACGGUGUUUAGGUCAAUCGGUAUCUGAAUUUGGAGCCAAUCCAAGUUUUUUUUUUUUUAGUUCAACAAGAAGUGUAUCCUUGCUAAAAGUUCUCAAUAAAUUGGGUUAAUUUUUGUGAUUAGAUUUUACUUGAUCAAGUUCAAGAAAUUCGGCGAAAUAAUCUAUAUAUAUAUUGACCUUUUCUUUUGAUAAGAUUAACGGAGAAUUCUACUUGUUGAACUCAAUAAAAUUAAAUGAUGUCGAACACAGGGGAUGUCUCUACUAUGGCAUUACUAAAAGUUGAUUUAGUAUUUAGAAUAAAAUAGAAAUAUUUUUUCGGCGUAUCAGAUUCCUGAAAUGUUAGUUAAAAAAUCAUACAAAAGAGUUUCAUGCAUAUGGCCUCAUACUUUUUGUGCACGAGCUCUUUUCCCCAUUCCUUACUUUAUAUAGCAUUCCCACAUCGCAAAAUAUUCACCUUUAAUCAUGAUCCAUUAUCUAAAUUAAUUAGCAUUACAUAUAUAUAUAUAUAUAUAUAUAUAUAUAUAUAUUAACACGAAGGGAUACUCCUUAUCUCACCAAGCACAUGUGGAGGAGGCAGUUUUGUACUUGUCCUCAUUUGUACAAUAAAAAUUUGCACUCGUCCUACUCAGUACAACAAACUUUUAUUUUAUGUUUUACUUUUUUUUUAUUUUAAACAUGUGAAUAAUUUUUUUAAAAAGUCAGCUCCUCUUAACAUUACAUUUAUUAUUAUUAUUAUUAUUAUAAAGAAUGAAAAGCGUUCGUCAAUCUAGGUGCAACGACAGCGGUGGAGCGAAAAAUAGAAAUUAUAGUGAAAAAAUUAUUACCAUUAUUAUUAUUAUUAUUUACUCAAAUUAUUUAUAAAGGUGGAAUCUCUACUUUUGGACACGUGUCAAAACGAAACGUUCUUAUGCGUGUUUGCCGUUGUGGUGCGUUCCAGGGGAUCGGGCCAACGAUUUUGAGUCCGCGCUCAUCCGGCGUGGCGGGCUCGUGGGUCUGACCAAGUGACGGGUCAACGGAUCCACGUCGCUCACGCAAAAUACGAAAACUAUUCCCCGCACCCGGUCCAUCCGUACACCCGUGCACAGCCAAGUUAUUCGGCCUAGAUUAUCUCUCAUCCAUCUUAUCUCUACUUUCAAUCUCGUUGAUUUAUGAAUUACUAUUUUCUUCUUAAAAAAAAUUGAAUGACAGUGAUUGUUGGGUAUAUGCUUCAAUCUAUAUAAUUUUAUAAAUAUAGAGUACGAGGCUAACCUUCCGUCCAUUUCUGAUGGGUGAAAGUUGAGAGGCUAAGAAGGAUUUCGCUAUAAGUAGAUUGAAAAAUAUCCUCCAAAGCAAAAUUUAAUAAGAACUACUACAUAUUUUAUUCUAGUGUAGUUUUCCUUCGAUUUUUUUUUUUUUUUGAAGCCCCAGCUGCCUCAUCUCAUAAUCAAGUUCAUAUCCUAAAUGAAUAAAACGGUAGCAUGCUAUCUUUUCUCAAAAAAAAAAAAAAUUAUUUUCAUCCUAACACACGGAUAAGAAUGCAUCGGGUGCAUAGAAUAGUUCACACUUCCGGGAACCAAAUGCCGGGUUUUUAAGAAAGCCCUUUAUCUCUUUUAAUUAUGCUCUCAACCCCCCUCCUCCACUCGAACUCCUAUAUAUACCUCUGAUCACCUUCACCAUUCCCACCCAAUCUCCUCGGCACAUUUAUGGUUAAUUCCUCACCCAUCUCUCCACAUCAAACCAAAAUAAAACCCCUACUAUUAGUUCUCCAUCUUUUAGCAUUUCUCUGCGAUUAGCUAUUCCCUAUUCAGUCUCUCUCUCUCUCUCUCCCUGGCGUUGGCGUGAGAUUGCGGAAAUGGCAAUGGAUUUAGAAGCGGAGGGGGAGAAGAAAGAGGAGGCGGCGGAGCGGCAGUACAUGGAAGGGGUGAAGCAGCUUUGCGAGAGCGGCAUCAAGAAGGUGCCCAACAAGUACAUCUUGCCAGCCUCGGAGCGUCCUCGGGUGAACGGACGGCGCGAUACCGCCGCUCAAAACCUCAGUCUCAAGCUGCCCGUCAUUGAUCUCUCUCUGUUGCACUCGAAAGACCACGCAUCGGUUAUUCAGUCCUUGGAAAAGGCCUGCGAGGAGUACGGAUUCUUUCAGGUACUACGUUUGUUGAAGUGCUAUUUGAAUAGAACUAUUUUUAAUAUUUUUAAAAAAAAACUACUUCUCACUGUAUGAAGUUUAUAGAUAGUGAACCACGGCAUUCCGAUCGAGGUUAUAAGGGAUAUGGUCGGCGUCGUGAGGAGAUUCUUCGAGCUUCCGUUUGAGGAGAGAUCAAAGUAUAUGUCGUCCGACAUACGAAAUCCAGUUAGGUACGGGACGAGCUUCAACCAAAUGAACGACAAAGUGUUUUCUUGGAGAGACUUCCUGAAACUCAGCUGCCAUCCUAUCUCCAGCGCUCUCCCGUUUUGGCCUUCUUCUCCUGCAGACUUAAGGUAGCGCUCGCAGUACAUAUUAACUAUUUUAUUUAUUGAUUAUGAUAGAUCAAUUUAAUAAAAAAAAAUAAUUUAUAUUAUUCUAUUAUACGCACACUCAUAAAAAAGAUAAUAAAAAAAAGCAACAAUUGAAAUAUUACCCAUUAAUGAUUGUUUAGGAAACAGUACAAAAAUAGCCCUAUCAAACAAAAAGUAGGGUUGGUCUAUAGAGCAGGGUUUCUAUACUUUUAUGAGUAUAGAGCACUUCGUACUCAUAAGUUAUUUUAGAUGUUGGGAUUUUCAAAUCAACGAUCCACACCGUUAAAUAUGAUCUAGAGUAUUUAAAACUUCUAGAAAAUAAAUGUCAUAAUUUUUUGAAAUCAUUAUAAAUUCAUCAAGCGGGUAUAAAAUGAACGGUCAAAAUCGAACGACACCCUAAAAAUGGAUGAUCGGAUCAUUCAAUUUAAAACCGGAGUUAUUGAUCUUUAUUUAGGUAGUGAAUAAAAUUUUCUAUAAAAAAUUCAACCUAUUCCGAUUCUUUUUCACUGUUAAAAUAACAAAUAUCUCAUACCGGUCGUUAAAAAUUGUCAAUUUUGUGAGCUUUUGAUCGUAAGGUAAAUGAUAUCAAAAAAUUAUAAAAUUUNAAAUAACAAAUAUCUCAUACCGGUCGUUAAAAAUUGUCAAUUUUGUGAGCUUUUGAUCGUAAGGUAAAUGAUAUCAAAAAAUUAUAAAAUUUAAUUUCUAAAAGUUUUAAAUGCUCUAGAUUAUAUUUAACAGUAUGAAUCGUUAAUUCGAAAGUUCUAUCAACGAAAACAACUUAUGAGUACGAAGGCAAUCGUACUCAUAAGAGUAUAGUAGCCGAACUCUUGGCCUAUAUACCAUAUAUAUGAUCGUGUGAGCGUUGCACACUGAAAAGCCUUUAUAGGUGGAAACUGGGGUGGGUAGUUUGAUAAUUUCUAUGUACGCACCUAGAUUUGGUCGGUUUUUAAGUUUCCUGUAACUCAUUAAUUUUUGUCCCCUUCAUUUAGUAGAGUAGCAGUUCCUCUACGACACAGGAGCCAGCUUUUAUUGGAAGCAUAUAUAUAUAUUUCUCUCUUUAAGUUGUUCAAGCUUUAACCACCUUAAUUUUCUUUCCAUUUAAACUCUAUCUCUCUCUUGUUUCAAUGGUUCAGAUAAGUAAUUUACCACCUCUUUUAAAUUCUUAAUAUUCUUUUAUACAAUAUAUAUAUGUGGAUUCAAGUUGUUUUCUUUUUUCUUUUUUUUUUUUGUGUGCGCACGCACACCCUAGAAGCGAAAAAAGUAAUUAAAUUCCUCCAAACAGAUGUGCUGAAGCCAACUCAUCAGAGCCAAGUCAUAGUCAGUUGUGGGUAAUAUGGUGAUAGAAGUCGACUGCACAGAACCAAACUCACAACUUUAUACAUAAAUAAAUAUAAUAUAUUUUAAAAUACUAUUGAUAAAUCAGUAUUAAUAUAAAUAUUAUAAUUUAUUAAUGAAGAUUUGCUUUUUUUUGAAGUUAAUAUCUUAAUUUUAAUUUCAUAUUUAAAAUUUGAAAGUUUAAACCACAACAGUUAGUUGUUAUAUGUUUGGAAGAGUGAAAAAUCAACCAUAGUACAAUGAGAUGUAUUAUUAAAGUACCCAUAGUUAGUAUCUAAUAAUUUAUGAGUGAGUCCUUCUUACUUUAGCUUUUUGGACUCCAUAUCUUACUUAGAUCUUCAUGUUCCAUAUAAGGACUACACUUUUGGGUACCCUCUACUGUACCCUUAGUAUUAUAUAUAUAUAUAUAUAUUAAAUUAAAUUCGGAUAAAUUUAACGGUAAAAAAUUUGAUAGUACCAAAUAUUUCAUGCUAUUAAUAAUAUUCCAGCCGAAUUCUAUAUAUAUAUAUAUAAAAUUAAACUCAGGUAGCUAAACGAGUCGCUACUACAUGUUGUGCCAACUAAGAUAUAGAGAAGUAGUUAGUACAUCAUUAAAUUAUUUAGGCCUUUUUCGCUAUCAUAUUUAUUUUUUGUUUUCAUAAUAAAAUUUUGUAUAUUAAAAAAAAUUGUAGGAGCAAACAGCGAAUUAUUUGUAAAUUUUUCAUCCAAAGUAACAUUUACUCAGCAACAAAAAAGAUAUUUAUAAAUAAAUUUUUUUAAUUUUUUUUUUAAACAUGUAGCCAUCUAUCACUCAACCUGAUGCAUAGUAAGCUAAGGGACAAUAACAAUACCCCAAAUAAAAAAAAAAAAAUCCAGCACUUCACAUUAUAUAAAAUUAAUAUUUUUUUAAAAAAAUGACAACGAUGCCGAAAUUUUACCAGAAAUUAGUAAAUAAAGUUUGCACUCACUGUACCAUAAGAUGUAUAAUUUGACUCGAUCAAAUUGAGUGGUUUCAUUUGGAAAAAUUAGUAUAGUUAUUUAAUUCUUCAAUUUGAAAAAUUUCAAUCCUAAUUAAAAGGGUAGCUGAAUUUUGAGCAAAUCAAAGAUUAAAUAAAAACACCGUAUAGAUUCGGUCGCUUAAUUUGAUCUUUGCGUGAUUUCAACUUUGACCCACGUGAGAAUUCGAGUUGUGGAUCGAGUCAACUAUAUGGGAGAGUUUUGGACCACAACGUACAUUUUUAUUGUGAAAAUGUUUAUUUGGACCAUAAUUAGCCCCUGCUUAAUUAAAUUAAACUUAUUGAAUUAACCCUCCUUUAUUAAUCUAAUGCAGGGACAAAGCACUUUUAUAUGUCAAGGAAAUGAAGAGUUUGUUCAUGGAUCUGAUGGAAGCGAUUUUGGAGACUCUAGGAGUGAACCGUGGCGUGCUCGAAGAAUUUAGAACUGGAUCGCAUAUCCUUGUAGCGAAUUGUUAUCCGGUGUGCCCCGAACCGGGACUUACCCUCGGAAUGCCGCCCCAUUCUGACUAUGGCUUCCUCACUCUUCUCCUCCAGGACGACGUCGAGGGGCUACAAAUCCAGCACGGCGACGAAUGGGUCACCGUCGAGCCAGUCCCUGACUCUCUUGUCGUAAACAUCGGCGAUCAUUUUGAGGUAGUUAAAGUUACUUAAAUUUAAAGCUUUUACUUUUGGGUUUAGAAUAUCAUUUCAAUUUUUCGCUCUAGUUAGGAGUACUUAUUCCCUCAACAUUAAUUGCGCUCUCAAAAGUCUAAAUUUAUUGGUUUUGAAACACGAGUGUUGCUCUCAUGAUAAUUAAUUAAGCAUUUUCCUAACCAUUUUGUUCCUUACAAUUGGAGGGUAUAUUUUCAAAAUUUCUAGUUAAAUAUUUCGGAUUGAACAGUUAUUUUAGAAAUCGGGCCAAUGAACAAAUUCAUAGUCCUAAAUCGGAAUUCGAUCUUUGAAUCUCAGAUAUUCAGUAACGGGAGGUACAAGAGCGUUCUCCACCGAGUGUUGGUCAACCCUGCGAAGCUCCGAAUCUCCGUCGCAUCCCUCCACAGUCUCCCCAUCGAGCGCGUCGUCGGGCCCUCCCCCGACCUUGUCGACGACGACGACAACCCGCGGCGUUACAUGGACACGGACUUCGCCUCGUUCCUCGAUUACAUCGCCUCGUGCGAAUCGAAGCACAAGAACUUCCUCGAGUCAAGGAGGUUGACUCCUGGCAAGGCCCUCCCUGAUAGUCAACCAAUUUGACUUCUGAUUCCCUCGCCAAAAAGGCGUUGACAAUUUGAGCAUCGUAUUUUUGGGCUAUUUAAAUAUUCCGACAAAUUAAUUGAGACUACGUCAUCAUCACCAUCAUCCUCCUUUUCAAAUUAUUCAACCACUCAAUUGUAGGAGAUAAGAUCCGUAUAGUAUGUACGUAGAAAGGAGAGAGUAAGGGAUAAAAAUAUAUCUAUAAUUAAUUAUACUUGCGGUUGGAAUCCUUUUAAUUAUCUUUGUAAUAUAUAGAAAUAGGUAUAUAAAUUAAAGAUUGACCUUUAGCUUUUAUUUAUUUAUUUAUUUCGGAACAAGUAUGAUGAUUUAUGGAGUGGUUUCAUAGAGAUAGGUGGAUCAUCAUAAAGGCCGUAGACAAGACCACCAUUAUAAAUCAAUGCUAGUACUAUAGGAUAUUACUAAAUAAGAGUAAUGAUCACACAUGUGCCUAAUCAAUUUAGUUAGCAAUAUUAAUGAUUAAAAUCAAAACUAUUACCUGCAACAAUUAGGCUAAUUAACUCGCUUUCCUAAAUAUAAAAUGUACCAUAUAUGAUUGCAGCAAACGUACGUAACCAAAUGUGUCAUAAUAUGUGUCAGGCUAAUUUAUCAAUAAUAUUCAGAGAUAUUUUUGGAUGUAUACAAAACAUUAAUUAAUCUAAACAUAAAUUUUCACUAUACAUUAGUAUAAGUAUAUUGUGCUUUAUUAUAAAAGUACACGGCGGAAAAGAAAACAUAAAAAACAUUCAUUUCUUACAAAAGUAAGCAUUAAAGGAGUCAACUCCCAAGGAAGCUUCCUUAUACUGGAAAUGAUGGAAAUGUUUUCCAAGUUAUUUAUUUCUCUUUAAAAAACUAAUAGAAUGGAAAUUCUUAGUUGACUUUUUAAAGUCUUUAAAAAAAAAAAAAAAAGUUUAUCACACUAUUUGACGCACCAUUCAAACCAAGGUUCAACUAGGGCAGGCUACUUAGGAAGUUUCAUUGAAAUGGCAGUAGUGAAGAAAAGCCAAGGAAAUGCUGUGUUAUUUUUAUUAAAAUUAAAUUAAUUAAGUCAAACCUUUUCAAGAUAUGCUAUAAAAAGAACCAAUAAUUGAUCUCAUUUUGCGUAAAAUCAUCGACACGUUCUUUGCUACUAUAAUAGUUAACUAAUAGUGUCAUAUUAGGAAUAGUAAUCAUAUGGUGGCCUGUUUGGUUGGAUCGAUGCAGUUAUUAAUAUAAUAUAGUUGAAGAUGUAUGCGUUUGAAAAUAAAACAGUUACAACUACUAUAUCGUAUUUGACUGGAUGUUGUAGAAAGCAUUGUAAUUAAAAUAAUUUAUUUGGUACAAAGUUUUACUACUUUAUACAUAUGGGAUGGUGAGAUUAUUAUAAUGUAGAAUAAAAUAUAUUUUCUGUUUAAGAGAUUAAUAGGAAGGUAAGAUUAUCUUUUAUUCAAAGUUAUUUUCUCCAACUGCUUCAGCAGCUAAUACGGAGAUAAUUCGAACUACUGUGUUUUAGCCUACUCGUCCAACUUCCACAGUAGCAAUUUAAUUAAGACAACACUGAAUUUGAAAUUACAUGCAACGAACUAGGCCCUUAUACUAGAUAGAAAAAAGAAUCAUGACCCCGACCUGUAUGUAUAUAAUAUAUAUUACCAUUAAUUUUAUGUUUUAGUAUUUCUAAUUAUUUGAGCUCUUUAACAUAUGUUUAACUCCCCUCAAAAUAUGUACAUUUAAGUUUUCUCCAAUUACUCUAAAGAAUCUUUUGAAAUUGAAAAGAGUCACCGCAUUAACUUAAACAUAUGUUGUAGACGUUGAAAAUGUUGAUGAGAGCAAGCAUUAUAUUCAUACAAUUAAGUUAAAAACAAAUAUGUAUGUAUAUAUAUAUAUAUAUAUAUAUAUACACAAAGCUAAUAGGAAUGGGGGAAGUAUUAAUCAUCCAUUUAAUAUACAAAUUUGAACUCAUGUUUGAAAGAGGAAAAUUUAAUAAAAUAUUCACAUGGCCUAUCUAUAUCGGGAGAAUGGGGACCAAUCUAUUUUGUACUGCUACUGCAAAAUAGUACCUAUAUUGACUUUUCUCAUGCAUUUAUUUUUUGUACAUAUAUUAAUUGUCCACAAUAAUGCACUACUAUGCUUGGCGCCUUCAAUAUGGGGGCACUCUUGUAGCCAUAGUAUUACCAGCUAUUUGUAGAUCUUCGUGGUCCCAAGAGUAUCUUAUUCCAGAUUCACGCUUGGAUUUGCAACAGCGCAUAUAUAUAUAUAUAUAUAUUGAUUCGGAAUACUAUCGAUAGCAAAUCGGCUCCGUUUGCCACGUAUUUAUUUUCAAUGAUGGAGCCUCCAAAUCGACGAUCGACAUCGGUGAACAUGAUCUAUACCACUUAAAGUAUCUAGAAAUCAAAUUUCAUGCUUUUUAGAUAUUAUUCUCUUGUCCAUCAGGUGGGCGCAAAAAUGAACAGCUGAAUAUGAAUAUUCUCUAAAAAGUGAUGAUAGAAAUUUUAUAAUCAAGAUCGAGAGUAUAAAUCUUGUUUUAAAUAGUUUAAAAAAUUUUCUAACUAAAAUUCAAUUGAUUUGAAUAGCUCUACACCGUUAAACGUGAAAACACCUUAUAUCUACCAUUAAAAUUACAAAUUUUAAAACCCUUUGAUCAUUAGGUCGAUGAUAUCGAAAAGAUUUGAAAUUUAGUUUCUAAAUACUUCAAGUGGUAUAAAUUAUGUUCAACGGUGCCAAUCGUCGAUUCGGAGGCUCCAUCAUCGAAAACAAAUGGGUGGCAACGGAGCCCGUUUGCUACCGAUAGCCUUCCAGCUCAACUCUAUAUAUAUAUAUAAUAUAUAUUAUAUAUAUAUAUAGUAUAUAUAUAUAUAUAUAUAUAUAUAAUUGAACUGGGUUACUAUCGGUAGUAAACUGCUCGGUUUACUACUGAUUUGUCUUUUGAUGAUAGAGCUCCAAAUCGACGAUCGGGCACCGUUAAACAUGAUUAAACCAUUUAAAUAUUAGAAAAUAAUUCUCAUGAUUUUUUGGUAUCACUACUGAACGAUCAAAGAUCACAAAGAUCUAUAAUUUAAUGGCCGAUAUGGUGCGUUUGCGUCGUCUUAACAGUAUAGAAGGUUUAAAUCACUAAAUUUUUUUAGAAAAUUCUUUAAACUAUUUCAAAUAAGAUCUAGAACUCUAGAUCUCAAUAUGAAAAAUUAGUAUCAUCCAUUUUGAAGGAUCAUUAUUCAAGGCAUUCAUUUUUGUUAACUUGAUGACAAGAGAACAAUAUCGAAAAAUGUGUGAAAUUUGAUUUCCAGAUAGUUAAAUAAUUUAGAUAAUGUUAACGUGCGCGCAUCAUCAUUUGAUAGCUCUAUCAUCGAAAGCAAAUCGGGUAGUAAAACGAGCGUUACUACCGAUAUGUCAUUCUAACGCUAUCAAACUCUUUCUCUCUCAUCUCCACGGCAAUUUCUCUCGUCUCCUCUCUCUCCUCUCUCUCUCUCUCGUUCCUCUCUCUCUCUAUUAUAUAUAUAUAUAUAUAUAUAUGGUCCGUGCUACUACUACUAUUAUGAGUAGAUCGCCUCUCUACUCAUAAUGUGUUUUCGAUGAAGAGCUUUCGAAUACGACGAUCCACACGUUAAACGUUAUUUACAGUAUUAAACUUCUAGAAUACAAAUUUAUGAAUUUUUCGAAGUCAUUUACCUUAUGAUCAAGAGGUCACAAAUUUGCAUUUUUAACAGCCGUAUGGGAUAACAUUGCUAGUUAACGGUGUAGAAAAAUCAAAAUUUGUUGAAUUUUGAUAGAAAUUCUAUCACAUACUAGAUAAAGUCAAUAACUUCGAUCAUUUGAAUUAAGGAUCCGAAUCAUCUUUUUAGACGUCGUUCGAUUUAGACGGCAUUCAUUUUAUAACCCACUUGAUGCUUUAUUAUGAGUUGUCGAAAAUUUAGCUAAAUUAUUGUUCUAGAAGUUCUAAUAUGAUCUCUGAUCAUAUAUUUAACGAAAAGAGUGGAAUCGUCGAUGUCGGAAGCUCUAAUCAUUGAAAACAACUAUAGUACGAGAAGCUCAAUACUCAUAAAUAGUAUAAUAGCCAUGGCCUAUAUAUAUCAUAUAUAAUAUGAUAUACUAUAUAUAGCGAGAGAAAGAGAGAGAGAAAGAGAGAAGAGAGAGAGAAGCUGGAGCUAUACUAAUGAUAGCAAAACGUCAUUCUUCUAUCAAUUUAGAUCUUUGGAUCAACUCUUUUAAUAAUUUCUAAUCAUUUGAUUAAAUACACACUAAUAAACAGUGGGGACGACUCACCCAUAGGGGACCACUCACUCUAAUUGACUAAUAUCAUCUCCUAUCCUAACAAUUUCUCAUUCAAAGUUAAAAAAAUUUGAUAGUAAAAAAGAGUUUUUGCUAUAUAUAUAUAUAUAUAUAUUAUAUAUAUAUAUAUAUCAAUGAAUUUAGGCUACUAUAUGAAUUUGUAGUACGAGGAACUCCCGUACUAUAGGUUGUUUUCGAUCUUAGGGCGUUUCAAUUUAACAGAUCCCACACAGCUAAAUAUGAGCUACAGCAGGUAUAUGAAAGUUCUAAGAAAAAAAAUUUUAGUUUUUUUUUGAUAAUCGUUUACUUAUGAAAUAAAUAUUGUAAAAAAUAGACGGUGCGAACUAAAUACUCUUUAAAAAAUUUGAGCACCUAGACUUUUUAAAUCAAGAUUCAAGAAGUGUAACGCUAAUCUAUAUAGUUUAAAAGAAUUUUCUAUCAAAAACAUUUGACAAAAAUUAGAUUAUAGCUACAACGUUAUCUCACAAACCUCGUCAUAAUAUGCCAUUGAAAGUUGAAAUUUUGAAAUGUUUGAUCAUAAAGUAAACUAUGGCGAAAAAAUAAUAAAUUUUUAUUUCUUAGAAAACUUUAAAUACCUAGAUAGUUUCUAACGGUGUGAUCAUUGAUUUGAAUGCCCAAGAUCGAAAAAACAUACUAAUAAGUACGCGAGCUCCCGACUAUAAAUGUAUAGUAGCGACUCUUAUUAAUAUAAGUAAAAUAACUAGUAUAUAUAUAAUAUAUAUUAUAUAUAUAUAUAGUAUAUAUAUAUAUAUAUAUAUAUAUAAUUGAACUGGGUUACUAUCGGUAUAAACUCGCUCAGUUUACUACGAUUGUCUUUUAGAUAGAGCUCCAAAUCGACGAUGCGGCACGUUGAACAUGAUCUAAACCAUUUAAAUAUUAGAAAAUAAUUCUCAGAUUUUUGGUAUCACUAACUGAACGAUCAAAGGAUCACAAAAAUACUAUAAUUUUAAUGGCCGAUACUGGUGCGUUGCAUCGUUUACAACAUAUAGAAGGUUUAAAUCACUAAUUUUUUAGAAGAAUUCUUUAAACUAUUUAAAUAAGAUCUUAGACUCUAGAUCUCAAUAUAAAAAUUAAAUAUCAAUCAUUUUUGAAGGAAUCAAUUCAAGCGCAUUCAUUUUGUUAACUUGAUGACAAGAGAACAAUAUCGAAAAAUGUGUGAAAUUUGAUUUCCAAUAGUUUAAAUAAUUUAGAUAAUUGUUAACGGUCCCGACAUCAUUUGAUAGCUCUAAUCAUCGAAAGCAAUCGGUAGUAAAAGAGCCGUUACUAGCCGAUAGUAUUCUAAAGCAAAACUCUCUCUCUCAUCUCCGACGAGACAACAUCUCUCUCUCUCUAUCUCUCUCUCUCUCUCUCGUCCCUCUCUCUCUAUAUAUAUAUAUAUAUAUAUAUAAUGGUCCGUGCUACUAUACUAUUAUGAGUACGAUCGCCUCUCUACUCAUAAUUGUUUUCGAUGAUAGAGCUUUGCGAAUACGACGAUCCACACCGUUAACGUUAUUUUACAGUAUUAAAACUUCUAGAAUCAAAUUUUAUAAUUUUGCGAAGCAAUCAUUUACCUUAUGAUCAAGAGGUCAACAAAUUUGCAUUUUUAAAGCGCGGUAUGGGAUAACUUCUAGUUAACGGUGUAAAAGAAUCAAAAUUUGUUGAAUUUUUGAUAGAAAUUCUAUUCACUACUAGAUAAAGUCAAUAACUUCCGAUCUUUGAAUUGAAGGAUCCGAAUCAUACUUUUUUAGAACGUCGUUCGAUUUAGACCGUUCAUUUUAAUAACCCACUUGAUGGCUUUAUUAUGAGUUCGAAAUUUACUAAAUUAUUGUUCUAGAGUUUCAAUUACUCUGAUCAAUAUUUAACAAGAGUGGAAUCGUUCAGAUGUCGGAAGCUCUAAUCAUUGAAAACAACUUAUGAGUACGAGAGCUCCAAUACUCAUAAUAGUAUAAUAGCCAUGGCUCUAUAUAUAUAUAUAUAUAUAUAUAUACUAUAUAUAGCGAGAGAAAGAGAGAGAGAAAGAGAGAGAGCAGAGAGAGCUGGGCUAUAUAUGAUGCAAAACGUCAUUUUCUAUCAAUUUAGAUCUUUGGAUCAACUCUUUUAAUAAUUUCUAAUCAUUUGAUAAAUACAACUAUAAAUCAGUGGGGGACGACUCAACCCAAGGGGACCACUCAUCUAAUGACUAAUGAUCAUCCACAUAUCCUACAAUUUCUCAUUCAAAAGUUAAAAAUUUGAUAGUAAAGAAGAGUUUUUGCUAUAUAUAUAUAUAUAUAUAUAUAUUAUAUAUAUAUAUAUCAUAGAAUUUAGGCUACUAUACUAUUUGUAGUACGGGAACUCCCGUACUAUAGUGUUGUUUUCGAUCUUUAGGUGCGUUCAAUUAACAGUCCACACGCGUUAAAUAUGAUCUAGGGUAUAUGAAGUUCUAAGAAAAAAAAUUUAGUUUUUUUGAUAACUCGUUCUACAUUAGUAAAUAAAUAUGUCAAAAUAGACGGUGGAAUAAAUACUCUUUAAAAAAUUUGAGCAUAGACAUUUUUCAAAUCAAGAUCAAGAAUGUUAACUUAAUCUAUAUAGUUUAAAAGAAUUUUCUAUCAAAAAAUUGACAAAAAUUUAGAUUAUUCUACACCGUUAUCCCAAACCUCGUCAUAAUAGCCAUUGAAAGUUGACAAAUUUGGAAAUGUUUGAUCAUAAAGUUAAACUAUGGCGAAAAAAUAUAAAUUUUAUUUCUAGAAAACUUUAAAUACCUAGAUCAGUUUCACCGGUGUGAUAUUGAUUUGAAUGCCCCAAAGAUCGAAAACAAAUACUAUAAGUACGGGAGCUCCCGACUAUAAAUAGUAUAGAGCCGACUCUAUAUAUAUAUAUAUAUAUAUAUAUAGUUGAAAUCGCAAUGCACCUCAAAUUCAUGAAUUUGGUAGUGAUGAUGACUUUCUUGUAAAAGGAUAUUUUAUUAACAUGAGCGUCAUUUCAAGAAGUCGGCAAUGAGCUCAGGAAUAUAUGUACGACUUUUGAUGGAGACCCAAAUCUAUAACCUGAUUGUUACUUAAUAGCUCAUUGAAUCUGAAUUUUAUAACCUGAAUUUGAUAAUUUGUGACAAAACAAGUUCAGAUUGGUCGUACACUGGCACCCGUAAACAAACACACCUGGAAAUAUACAGAAUCGUGUCAAUAAAAGAAAAAAAAAUCUUACAAAAUUGGUGUUUGGAUGAGUAUUCCCAAAAAUCUCAUACGCAAAUGUUUCGUUUAUUUCAUUUAAAAAUAAACGAAGCUGGAAAUGUGAAUCAACUACGAUUCAAACUUGGGAUUUCGAAUACUAACCACCAAAUUCUUUGCCACUUGUUCUAAGGACGGUCAGUCUCAUACACAAAUGUUUUAGAAAGGUUAUACACACAUAUACCAAGUCGUGUUAUUAUAUAUAAUAGUUGGGGCAGUUCUUUAUGUAUAUUCCUCUUGAAGUGCCUAUUUUUUAGAUAUACUUUUAGAAAGUUUAAGUGAUGAGAUUUAUCCCUCUAAAGUUUCAACUUCUUUCAAAUACAUUAUUGAAUUAAAUUCGGUUAGUUUAGUGUUAAAAAGAGCCAUUACCUUACUAUAAAGCUAUAUUUGCUCUUUCAAAUAUGCUUCAUAGAAAUUAAGUUUUAAGUAAUAAAAUCUAUCUUUCGCCGACCGUCCCUAUAGAGCAAGUGGCAAAGGGCUGGGUGGUUGGUACCCGAGAUCUAAGUUCGAAUCCUAGUUGAUUCACAUUUCUAGCUAAGUUUAUUUCUAAAUGAAAUAAACGAAGCGGGUAGCGUGCUACCUAUCUCUCCCAAAAAAAAUAAAUAAAAAAAAUAAAAUAAAAUCUAUCUUUCUAGUAUUCCAACUUCUUUGUAAUGUACCAUUCAUUUCACGCGGAGGUUAGACUAAAGAUAAAGUUAAAUUAGGAUACAUACAGAAUCUGGUAAUGUAAGAGUGUAUGUAUAGAGAGAGAGUUAAAGAGAGAAGAAGAGAGUUGUGCUAAAAUACUAUUAAUAGUAUGAUACUGUCUAUUUUGUGAUCAUUGGUUGUUUAAGGUUAAGUGGGUGAUUGAUAUGGUUGUAAUAAUCCAAGAGUAAAAAAGUGGAUAGGGCGCAUAGGUAGUUAUUCCUCAAUAGUUUGUGCACCAAAAAAAAAAAAAAAAAAAAAAUAAAAAAAAUAAUCAAAGAGAGGGGGAGCUAUAGGCCUUCUCUCUCUUUACACUAGUUAAAGCCCACUCCCACAAAUUGGGCCAAACUGUAGUGGGCCGGACCAAUCUAUAUGUAAGCCUGUGCAAUACGGGCCAAAUUUGUGUAUUAGGCCCACUUAUGAUCUUUAAUGGGUUUAUCCGGAGCCUAACCUUCUAAUUGAUAAGUUUUUUUUUGUUUUUUUCCCCUCCCCAAAGGUAAAAAUAUGUAAGCAAUUCCUUAAACAACAGAGCUGGAUCACAGGCUUAUAGAGUUUUGCAAAAAAAAAAUAGCACAAUUAAUGCACAGAACUUAGCAAGUAUACAAUUAUCCUCAAAACUAAAUGUAACUAAAAUAUAUAGACGGCGGUCUUCAAAUCUAUAAAUUAGAACCAGCAAAGAGCAGGAGAGGAGACAAAUUGGUCUCUCAAACAAUCAAGUUCAUUAUCGAUUAUCAAUGCUCAGAAAAGAAAAAAAAAAAAUGAAAUCCUCGAAUCGUGCUUCUGAUCAAGGUCCUUAUCUUGAUCCUCGAUCUCAGAGGGAGAAGAAAGAAGGUAAACUUUGAAGCAAAAUAUCAGAUGAUUCUUCUUCUUCUUCUUCUUCUUCUUUUUUCAAAAAGUAUUUUUUUCAUGUUCUGUGUCACAAGAAAUAGGCAGAUUUUGUUUGGAACAAAGCUUUUGUAAUGCAUUCUCAUUAGUUUGUUGGAAAAAAAUUACUUGUUUUGGCUCAACCACAUCCACCAAAUCAGAUUAGAAAAGAGAAAAGGGAGAAACAACCAAAUAUUUUGUUAGGUGAGAGCUUACAUCUUAGCCAGAUGCUACAUAUGACUUUUGAGCAAGGAAAAAGCUUAACGAGAAUAUUAUAAUCACUAAUUAAUAAUGGUCAAUGCCGAUGAAAAAGUAGAUAAAUAUUGUUGCAUAUCAUGCAAGUAAAUUCUUGGACUUACCUUUUCCCUUUAUUUAGCAAUUAACUAGCACAUUUGAGAUUGUGAUUGUAUCGUGCUACACAUUCAAUAAUAAUCUGUUAUUCAUCUCAUCUUACUCUUCAAUUAAAAAAUAAUUUAUAAAAUAUGAAAAAAAACUGUUAUAUUCUGUGUGGUGGUUCAUGGAUGAUGUGGUGGAUUAGGUCCAGCGAAACCUCCUCCAGGUAAAUUUUUAAAUGGUAACGGAUAAAACGGUUAACGACCCUUAGGCAUUUAAUAUACCCCAGUGGCAUCCUAUGCCCGUUGAUUUAUUGCUUGGGCCCACCACGAUCAGAUCGGACGGGUGUUCGUCUCCGGAGCCAUCCCACAUUCCCACUCUAUCAAAGAUGCCGAAUAUUUUUGAUACCCUGGAGAAAGGGUAUCCUAUGUACCCUGUCGGAAAGAGUAAGUAAUAACGGAUACAUUGAAUCUAGUUAAAUUUUCUGAAACUAGAGUUUUUGCAAAAUUGUAAUAAAUGUUUAAUAUAUUUAUUCUAUCAAUAAUAAUAAUAGUAUUAUAGCAAUAAUAUUAUUGUUUGAAAUAAAAGAGUUUGAACUUUUUGAUCAGUUCUACAUAAGGCCAAAAUGAACUUAUGAUUAUAACUUAGAAGCUCAAAUUUAAAGUUUGCAAAUUGUAACCUUUUCAUUGCUUUUAAGUGUUAUGAAUGCUUAAUAUUCCAUCUUGACGAGCAAGAUUGGUUUAUAAAAUGAUCCGAUCACCACGGCACGUAAUAUGAUCGAUCAUCCUGUAAAACUUUACCAUUUUGGAGUGUUAAAUAGAAAACUUAAAAAACAUAUUUCAUGUUGGCUUAGGAAAGACCAGCAAAAUCUUGUUUCGUGGCAGAGAGCGGAUUGCACCGAAUCACAAGCGAAACCUGCGGACGUUGUUUGCUUAUUUACUUUAAGUGAUAACUAAUUGUCCCCUCUUUCAAUAGGUUGAGUUUUGAAAUUGUGGUGACAGAAGAAUUAAUUUUUUAAUUUUAAACAGAAAAUACUUCAGCUAUCCUAAUAGAAUAUUAUCUUUAUAGAAUAUUAGUGUAUUAAUUAAUAUAUUAGCUCAAAAUGUUGGGGCAAUGGCUUUGCAUGUACCAGCUAGAUGGGCCCAAAUUAAUGAGAAGUUCUACACUAUCACGCUUGCACCUCGUCAUCCGUAACAAGCCAAUCACAUUUCUUCUUUUCAAAUAAACGUACAAUAAAAAUAUUCUUUUACAAUCAUAAUAGGACAUAUAUCUUUAAAAGGAUUUAUUUGAUUGGUUUGUGAUGCCAUGUCACUAAUACACCCGGUGUAUUCUAGAAUUUUUCCAAAUUAAUGGAGGUACAACCAACUAGUUAAACGUCAAUCUAUUAUGUCGCAAAAAUAAGUAAAAAAAAAAAAAAAAAAAAAAAAAAAAAAAAAAAAUUACAGAAAACUCACAUGACCCUUGCAUUAAAANGUCGCAAAAAUAAGUAAAAAAAAAAAAAAAAAAGGAAAAAAGAAAGGAAAUUAAAAAAGAAAAGGAGAAAGAGACACAGGAGAUAAGGGUCAUAAGGUAGCUUCUAAAGGGUCCCAUUCCAGGAAAAGUAAAAAGGUUAAGAAAAUCAUCCUGGAAUUUAACAAAGCAAACAGUAGAGAGAGACAGAGAUAGGACCCAAUAGUAGAUAAGAAGAUUAAAAGAGUAAACAAAUAAAAAAAAAGGAAAAAGAAAAAGAAUUAAAAGAAUACAAAUAUAAGAAGAGCAAGAGACCAACCUAAACAACCCUUCUCUAACCCCUCUCUACCUUCUCUACUAAGCCUCUCCAUCUCUCUCACCUCUUCAUAAACACAAACAAAACACAUACCAUCCCCAUUACACUCCCACAAACCAUGUCGGCCUCUCCUGAGCUCGCUCUCCCGCCUAUCGCGACCGCCCGAUCGCAUCCGGUUCAAGACCAGGGAAGGAACGACGCUUCACCGCCGACGGUCGACGGCGACGACAGCGGGGAGUGCCGCACGCCGACUGCAGAAGCGAGUAAGCUCCCCGUGGCCGCGCGAAUUUGCCCGCCGGCCCCGCGGAAGCCCCGGAGGGUGGUGCUGUGCAAGAGAAGGCUUUCGGUGGAUUUUGAGCUCAUCAGUGUUGAAAUGGAGGAGUUGGAGAAUUUGUUUCGGGUAAACUUCGCUGGGAAUUCGAUUAACGAAAGAGAUGUGAAGCGGAGGAAGAUAUGCAUGUCAUCCACUUGAAGAUUAAAAAAGGUCAAACUUUUAUUAUGGUGAUUUAUAAGAUAUGAUAGGUUCACGAACGUGUGUAAGAUAGGGGUUUUUUUCUUUCUUUCUUUUUUUUUUUUUUGGUAUUUUUGUUCUCAUGUGGUAUAGAUAUUUGUAACAUUUAAUUACUGAAGCAGUUGAUAAUGGAAGUUGCAUGUUAAUUAACUUAGUGCGUGGGAUUUAGCAAUGGAGAGGUGAGGAUAUAUAUAUGAUUGUGUUUAAUUUGUUUUCUCCUUUGUGAUGUGUGUUAUAGCAUGAUCAUCACACAUGUUUUUUGUGUGGCCAUCAUGAAGCUGCUAUAAACCCCUAUAUAACUAUGUAUUGUGGUGCUUAAAAUGCAAGCUCACCGCGCUUCCAAAAAUUAUGCUCGAAAUUUUUAAAACAUUUUCAGAAAAAUGUGCUAAUUAAAUUGCUUGCGUGAAUUAUUGCCCUUCCACUUGCUUGUUGCACUUUAAACCUGUUAAUUAAUUUGGUCUUGUUAUAAGGUAUAUUGUUGUUUCAUAAUUAAGCUAAUAUAUAUUCAAGUAAGAGAACCACUCUUUUAACAGCAUAUAUUCUCAUUCCAUUCGCAUCUUGUCCAAGCAAAAUCAAAAGUUUCAAGUUGGAGCUUUUGUUUCUAAGGGGCCAGCUUAAUUAGAAUUAUAAUUCUCUUUUCUUGUCACAGUAUUAAGCUUAGAACUGUAUAUUUAUUGAAUACUCUAUAAAAUUUGUUAUUGCUAAUUAAGAACAAAAGAAAAAGCAGUAUAAGAGAGAAGAGAGAGAUGUAGAGAGAGGAUGAUGCAUGGUAGGUGAUGGGGAGGUGGGUGGGUUUUGGCGUUAUGCGGAUGGUCUCAUAUUGGGUGGAUCGAGUACGUUUCGAUCGCAUUGAACGAACGAAUGGAGAGGAGUAACGUGCACGACUCUCUUCUAUCUUAAUUUAACUUUCAAUAAUUAGAAACAUUACGCACGUCCGAUCUUUGACGAAGCUUUUAUCAACUUUUACAUGUUACUUUGUCCCCAUCCAUGCAUUACUUACUCCAUUAACACUCUAUUUAUAUGUCUCCUCUCGUAUUAAUAUUCAAUAUAUCAUCUUGGACGGCGCCUAGCUAUAAACAUAUAUUAUUUUGUGCAUUAAAUAACGUCCUUUUAAUUAUUUGGUACGUGAUUCAUUUAAUAUAAUACUAAAGAAGGUUUUACUUUUGUUGUUUUUUACCGCAGCGUGAACGUAGAUGAGGUGGGGACUAAACUUAGUUGAUGCUAUAUGUACAAACUGUUAUACAUACAUUAAUUUUAUGUGACUUUUUUAUCAAAAUUUUCCAAUAUUAAUAUUUUGUGUAGUAUAUUUUUUUCAUAUAAUAACAGCUAUAAUAAUAAAAGAUUAAUACGUAUUUAAUAACUUUCAUUAAAUAUAUUGCAUGGUCAUACUUAUAUGGGUCUUGAUAUAAGCGAGUCCAGAACUCUCUUGUGCGGUUGAAACUUUGGCUUGAAAAAUAGGAAAUAGUUUUUUUACAGUCGCAACGAAAACACAACAGCAUGAAUGUAGAUCAAAUCUUUCUUUUGUUGAAGAGUAUUCGUAAUCCUCAAGCCCUUUGUUAUAUUAAUAAUUUUUUUUAUCAUGAUGAGUGACUAAAUCUAUCUAAGUGCUCAAAUAAAAUUAUAAAACUUUACGAUCGUCCCCGGCUAAUGUAAGUUGUUAAUUAAAGAAUACGAUGAUUAAUAUAUGAUGUGAUUAUGAGCAUAGCGAAAUUUUUCUUUACGCAUCUAUGAUCUAAUUUUUAAUUUAUUUAAUUAGAGAUGCGGUAAAAUUAGUACACGAUAUUGCCAUCGUAACAGUAUAUAAUGUUCUGAGUUCAAAAUUAAUUUGUUUGAUAUUUUUCACUAUUUUUUUUUUUAAAAAAAUAAUGAAGCAAGAUACCAUGCUCUUUUUCUCACAAAAAAAUAACAGUAGGAAACUUCAAUAAAACCCCAAAAAAGGAAUUUAUCAAAUUUUUUUAAAAAAAUAAAUACGAAAAUACAUUUUUACAUAAAAAAAACCGGGCAAAUGCAGUUCCCUAGGGAGAAUGGAACACAGUAACGGCCGUACGAUGCGAGACCUCGUCGGACACGUGGACGUCGAUCAUGAGAUAACCCGAGGGGAUCGUGACAUGGUGUGGGGCCCACGCUUGUGCUGCGUAUUCGCGCGUUUGUAAACGGGAAGCGACAGCGACACGUGUGCCGAGUCCACAUUCCCCAAGAGCGCAUGGCCCACCAUACGUGCCAGAGGAAUCCGAGGAGCGAAACGAAUCGCGCGGUGAUUUAAAUAAUUACCCAAAAAAAAAUAAAAAAAAAAUAAUAAUUAUUGUAGGCUUAUAUAUAAAUUAUAAUCCAUGUAGACACUUCUUCUUUUUUCUUUUUUUUUCCGACGCAAAAUUCAAACCCAGUUUUUAUAACAAUAGAUUUGAGACGAUCUUUUCAUGACGUUUUAUUUUUUAAAAUUAACUAACAAUCACUUUUGACGGUCUCUAAAACAAGUGGAAAAAUAUCUAUGAUUUCAAAUUUGAAAUCAAAUUACUUUAUAUUUUUAGUUAAAUUUAUUUGUUUAAAAAAUAAUAAUUGAGACUGCAUUAAUUUUUCACUUGUCAAAUUACGCUCGCAUUUCAAAAAUAUAUAUAAGCUAAAUAAAUGAAGUUUUUUUGUUUUUUUUUUUUUUCUUUUACUUUUAUCAUAAUUAACGGAAAUUGAGAUGAACUUUUCUACGUGACCACAUGAUUAAAGCCACCUUAAAUAGCCAGAACAAGACCACAAGCAUCUUAGACCAGAACUUAGCUGUAGUAAAUGAGGUGGGGAAGGAAUAAAGCUAUAUAUCCAGGUGAACUUUGAACCCAAUUCUCUGAGGAGAGGAAUAUAAACCCAUUUAUAAAGAGUGAACACAAUAAGGACUUAAUAAAGUGGUCUUGGGUGUAAAUAGGAAAACGUUGCAAGGGCUCAGUUGCAAUAUGUAUGGCUUUUUCCUUAUAGAAGCCAAAGUGGAGGCUCUCGAGUCUCGACCUGUCAAGGAUAUAUCCCAUACAUGGACACUGCAAAAGAGGAAAAGGGAAUAGGAUAGAAGGUUGAAAAGUAGUGCUAUCUAUUUGCAGUACUAGAGAGAGAUGGGUAGGGGUGUAAUGUGGGCCGGAUCGUGCCGGCACGGCUCACAUUUUUCGUGCUGAUCCCGGCUAGGGGCCGGCCAGGCUCUGCCCGAUUUCAAAUUCGGGCCAGCCGUGCCGGGCUGGAGCUACCAACUCUCUGGCCCAGCACGGCCCUUCGGCCCGGAAGGCCCGGGCCGUGCCGGUCCGGGCUGUGCUCCGGGCCGGCCACUAAAGGAUUUUAUCCUUUAUUAUUUUUUUUAAAAUAUAUAAAAUUAAAAAAUAAACAAAUAAUUUUUUCUAUUUAAAAAUUUAAAAUUUAUAUAAUAAUUAUAAUAUAACAAAUAUUUAAAUUUUUAAAAAUAUAUAUAAUUUUUUAUAUUUUUUUGAAAAAAAAAAUUGGAGAGUGUAUUUGGUCCAAUGGACCAAAAUUAUUUGGUCCAUUGGACCAAAAACCUCCUUCUAGCAUACCUUGGGAGGAGAUCUCCUCGGAUGAAGGGCCAAGGCCCUUCUCCUCAGGAGAUCCAACCGCAAGGCUAGCCUUGGGCCUUUGGGUUCAGGCCGUGCUGGCUCAACUGGCAUAGCCCACUUGGGCCGUGCCGUGCCGAGCCACGGGUCUCCCUUCGUUCCGGCACUGCUCAGAACCGUAUCGGGCUGUGGCAGGACGAACCGUCGGGCCCAAGAAGAUUGGUUCAGCAUGGCCCAUAUAGCUGGACCGGCCUGGCCCGGCACGAUGCUACUAUAGCUGUGCCAGGCCAUGGCCCGACCGGCAGUCGUGCCAUUUUACACCCGUAGAGAUGGAUCACGUAAAAAUAAGAGAAAUACUUAGUCUAUAAUAAAAAAAGAUUAUAAUCUCUACAACCCCUCAUUCAAAAGUUGUUGAUUUUACUAACCCUUUUUAAAUUUUUACCAAAACUUAAAAAUAAAAAAAAAAGUGAUAAGAGAAGUAGAGAGAAAGUGGCUUUAGGACCAGAAGAGUCGUACCAGAGGAGUCGUAUGAUUAUAAUUCACAGUGAAUUCUGGACCUUGCACUCAUUUAGAAAUAACAGUUUGAUAAAUGGAGCGAGGACUUGAACAUAACGUGGAGGGUGUUUUUAUCGAAUAGUUUUUGAGUUGGUUUGAGCCCUUUAGCAUAGGUAUUAGAGCCUAAAAACUUAGUGUGUUUUGGGCCAAGGCCCAUAUAAAUUACUCAUAGGGUGGAUUUGGGCUCAUGUUUCAUCGGCCCAGCAAACCUAAUGGGCCUAGCCCAGUAGCUUUGUAUUCCUUGCCCAAAUCCUCUGUGUUCGAGUGAUCCAGUUGUUGCUUGUUUGUGCGCUUGAUUUGUUUUUUGUUUUUUUGUUUUUUUUCCUUUCCUUUUUCUCUGUUUACAUACUAGUCUUACUUUAGUUUUGAGAUAAACUAGCUGGUACAAAAAUAUUACCACCCAAUAAAGCUGAGUUGAGUUAGUGUGCUCGAUCGUACGUAUUUAGCAUUUAGAACUUUACUACUACUUGUGUUACAUUAUGAUUAGCUUUAAAUUUAUUGUAUUAUAUUGGUUAUAAUUUCACCGCCAUGGUUGCUAGUAAUUAAGAGCUAAGAGUUCCAGAAAAAAAACUGUUCAAACUGGACCAACUUAUCCGGUAAAAUGGAAAAAGAGAAUGAAGAAGCUACUUUGUUGUGUUAGUCAUGAUAUAUGUAACACCCCCAUCAGGAUUCAGGAACACGCACAGCGUGAAUACAUGCAUGACGUACACGAAACAAUUUGUCUUGGUUCUAAACUUAACUUGAGAGAUCAAACUGCUGUUACGAUACAACCAUUGAUAUCGAUCAGUGCUGCAGGUAAUUCAAAAGAACUCGUAAGAGUAGAUGCUUACCAAUUUUAAGAGUGUUUCCCAGCAACUCCAGUAAAAUAUAUAGUUCUACCCCCUUUACUCAAUUAAACAAGGGAGAUUAUUUCCAGUUAGGUAUCUCAAGAGUUUUGAUUACCAAUAUUUAUUGUGUCAACUAUAGAUGAAACACUUCAUCAGGAAGGCGAUUUAUUCACUUUUGAGUUUCAAGUGUUGCCGUUCGGCCUCACAAAUACAUCGGCCACAUUUUGCACAGUUCAUAAACAAGCUCUCACGUUCAUACGACGAUCAAUUUGUUGUAGUAUGAGUUGAAGAUUGUACAAAAUACAAAUACGCAGUUACAUAUAAACGCACUUUUUUUUUUUUCUUCGAGGUGACUAAAUUUUGUGUUUUGAGUUCGUACUAAUUAAUUGGCUGGCUCUGUAUUAUUAAACUUUAUAAAAAUUAAGAUUGUACCUUUUGUUAUAAUUUCGAUUUCUAAACCUGAAUUGUAGAUGGCGAUUAAUUCUUACUUGUGGUUCGUUCUCGUUCAUGAUCUGCCAAAAAAGAAACAUUUCGAGUCUAAUUCUCUUAUCCCCGGAAAUGAAACCGUCAUAGGAAUUAAGAUUAGAGUUAGAUCGGGACUCCCAUAUGUUACAUAUUUAUAUAUAAUUUGAUGUAAGAAUGUUAAAUCACGUACGUUCAUCAAGAACGUGUGGCCAGAUACAUCAUAAUCAUUAGAUCUACCGUAUUUUUAUAGAUCGACUUGAAUAGACCGACUGCAUCUUUAUAAAUCGUCUUAAAUAAAUCACAUAAACCAUAUCCAACAUAUAUAACUUGUUUUGCAAAUAAUUGCCAUUUCAAACUUCUCUGAGCUGUUACCUGACAAAAUUUGAUUGCAUUUAUCAAUUUUCAAAAUAAAAACUGGAAGAGGGCGGGUACAUGUAAUUUUAUCCAGUUGCAUGAGAGUAACGUGCAAGAGCACAGAGCCUUAUCCUUCGUACAACAAAGAAUUAUAUGCAGAAGACGCAGUGAAAGAUUACAAAAUCGCGUUUACUAUUCAAUACAUGCAACAAUUAAUUGCUCUGAUACGCACGUGCGGGAGAAAUUAGUACCUGCACAUGGUGUACGUAUAUCUACAUGUUUAAUAAAUAAUUAAUCCAAAAUUAAAAUAUGAUUAAAUUAAUGGAUAUUGUAAGAAACAUCUGGAGAUGUCAUGUAUAUAGGAAGAAAUUAAAUACUUCCUAAUUAAGAUUAACAAUGUAGAAAUAAAAUAUUAUUCACUCAUUUAUAAAUUUAAUAAUUACAGGUAUAUAAUCGACCGCCCUAACACAAGUUGCGAAGGACUUGAUGAUUAGUUAGUAUCCGAGAUUUCAAAUUUAAAAUCUAAUUGCUUCAUAUUUUCAGCUGGGUUUAUUUCUUAAAAAAAUAAAUAAAGUAGGAUGCAUGUUAUAAUUUUCCAAAAAAAGUAAUAAUUAUAAGAAUAUGUAUUAUAAAAUUAAUGCAUUUAUCCAAUUUAUAUUUUUUCAUUCAACAAUCUACCCUUCAAGUGUUUAGGAUUCUAUCGGUGAGGUGCAUGGUGCACCGGGUUCAUACAGCAACUUCUGCUUCGUGUUGUUGGCGUGACGUCAGCAAUAGCUGCAUCACCGUGGCAUGACGUGCGUGGGACACAGCUUAAUUAACAGCUAACAAUAACAUAAGCGACUCGAAUAAAUUUAACAAAAAUGCCAUGCCCUUCAAAUUCAAUAGAUAUAGAGAGUUAGAAAAAUUUUCUUUUAUUGGUUACGGAAAUUUCUCAAAAAUUUUAGUUAAAAGUAUGAAAUAAGUAUCAUUCGCAUUUAAGAUCUCGAAUAUUUAUUAUCAAGUCUUUAGCAAAAAGUGCUAAAUACAAUUAGUACAAAUAAUAUAAUUUUAUGUGCAUUUGCUUGUGUGAGCAUAGCAAAACUCUUAAUUUAAUACCUUGUUAAUUAGGAAUCAUAGAAUGCUUUUUCCAGUUCACGUGCAUUCCCCCCNACUAAUUGAGUUAUUGUAUAAUUAAACACCUUGAUCUCAAACCUUAAACCUAUAUAUAUGUACCAGCAGAUCUGAAUAUAAAUAAUUAUAUGUAUAUAAUCUGUUGAAUUUGAUGAUAUCAAAUUUACCUGUUAGUUUAUUUGGUUCGUUUUGAGUUUAAUUCAAUAACUCAAUUAGUAGACUAGUUGGUAGUUGGUUUGGACCGUAGUUAAGCUUUAGUUAACCCAUCAGCAUAUUGGACCAGAUGGAUUAUUAUGAAAGGAAUUCUCAAUUGGUAUAGUAUAUAGAAGUUCUCAUUUUGCUCUCAAAGAUUUUCUUUUCUUGUUAUAGAAAAGAGGGGUGUAUAAGAGAGAGUUGGCGAAGAAGCUUUCUUGUUUUUAUUGUUUGUUCAAAGUUUUCAAAGUUGAUUGGUGAGUAUUCGAAGAGACAUUUCAAAGUGAGAUUUGCAGAAUAUAUAGGAAGAUGCUUCAAAAAAAAGUAUAGCAAGAAAAGUUUUUCUAUUUGGUUGGUUCUAUGUCCAUUGUAAUAGAAUAGUACUUUUUAAUCAAAUCUUAUAAUCUGCUCAGUUUCAUAAUGGAUUUGAUCUUCCCGUAACCCAUGAAUGCAAUUCAGUUUCCGAUAACCACUUAAGUUUUCUUGUAUUGUUGUAGUUUUCAUUUACUCUAAUUUUUACAUUUUUUGAUUGUUGAUGAUUUAGAUCCAUCACAUUUGUUUAUUAUAUGGUUAAUUAGUAUUUUAACAGCGCGGGUUACAUCAUUAUCGCACUACAUAAUUGAUUGGUUGAUGUACAACUUUAUAAUAGUUUAUUUAAAAAUAUAUAUAUCAUUAUUUUCGAGAACUUAUUAUAUAUUAUAUAAGCAUCAAAUUGCCACAAAACUUCACGGCAUUAAAAAAUUCUAUUGUUCAUUAUAGAAGAAAACGAAUGUCCAAAUCUAUGUAUAUAUCCAGAACUAGGCUAGAAUACUAUUAAUAGUACUAAGUUAUAGGUACUAUUAGGUUUUCAGUUUUUGGAUGAAGAGAUGUGCGGUUAGGAUGAUAAUGAUCUUCUAGAAUUGAAUGAAUGGUUGAUUGAAUAGUAUAAUCUAAUGUAUGAAUAUUGUCAAAAAAAUAAAUCUAAUUAACGGUGAAAAACUCGAUAGCACCAACUAUUUGGUGUUAUUAAUAGCAUUAUAGCCAGACUCUAUAUAUCUAUAUUAAUUCUCCAAACCUUCUAAGUACAGUGUGUCAUACACUGUUGACAUCUUGGGUAUCCUCUCCAUUUGAUUUUUUGGGGAUGGUCCAUUCUAUAUAUAUACGAUUUCUCCUCCCUAGCUUUCCCUAGAGUGGUCCAUGAAUGGGAAUUGGGAAGGACCUUGUACAACUAAUCCAUUCCAUAAGCCAAAAUAGAGGGGCCCCAAAACAAAGCAACUAAUCCAUCUCCCUCUAAACGCCAUCACUGUCCCGCAAGGUUGGCUAGCUAGGACCCUUACCUCAAUCAACCAACAAAUUAUAAUUAUUGCUCGCACUCGGCACAUCUACACAUUCGUACGUAGACGUUCAAUCUCUUAUUUGCGAUUGCAGAUAAAUUAUGUUACGCGUAGUAAUUUUUAUGCUCGACAGCAUCAAACAGCUGCCAAUAUCAAAUGGACCAUAGACGAACGCACGCAUUAGGUGUAGGCAAUAACAUUGUCUAAAUUACAAUCCAUGUGGUUGGUUUGGGUUGCAUUUGUCCUUACUCCCACUUGUCAACACAAAUUAAGCGUCUAUAGUCACAAAUCCCACAUCUUUAAUAUACUCCCCCAACUAUUCCCUGCUCCACAGUAUAAAAUAAACUAACCGACCAUCCAACUAUUUGAACGUAAAAUAGAAGAAUAUUUAACUAAAACAAUAAAUAAAUAAAUAAAUAAAUGGAAUAGAAAUGAAUACAAUAAUGGAAUACAUAUAUAUAUAUAUAUAUAUAUAUAUAUGUAUGUAUAUGUACUACGGCUGUGACUGGUUACCAACAAUUAAUUAAUGUCAUCAAAUGGAAUGAAAUAAAAGCGCUUUUAAAUAACUCCACCUACGUAUUUGUGGGGAGAGAUUUUUGUGUAUUUUAUUAUCAACUAAUUAUUGAAUAAAUACAAUAAUUUGUCCUAUUAUUAUUAUUAUUAUUAUUAUUAUUAUUGUUGUUGUUGUUGUUGUUGUUGCUGUUGUAGUUGUUGGUAGUGGUUGUGGGUCUCAAGAAGCGAAGAAUGGGGCGCGGUGGGGGACGCCCUUGCGACGCCGCGAAUUCGGCAGCGACCGCGUUGCUCGGGCCGUGUCGGCGCCGACUCUGGUCUCCUCGCGCUGCGGUAUCCGCUCCCCGCUUCCCCCGGUAACCUUACCCCCCUCCGCUUUGUUAUCGUCCCCGUCUCCUCCUCCGCUCCCGCUCCCGCUCGCGCUCGCCUCGGUCGGUGUGAAGCUUGCGUCGCCGUUCCUCUUUAUCCGCACCAACUGCAACGAGAGCGCAAAUGAAAAGAAUAUUUAAUUGGUUCCGCGAAAGUGAUUUAAUACCGGAAUUCAUAUCUAUUUUUUUUUUUUUUAUUUAAUUAUUACAGUCGAAUAUAAUUUUUUUUUUUUUUUGCGUUUUUUUUUGGGGGGGGUGCUGUGAUGAAGUUGUUACAAAUGCAUGCAUGAUCGAUAUAUAUUUUUGAAUACAAUGUAGGUAGUAGCUAGGUAGGUAGGUAAAUUAAUUGAUUGAUGUAAAUAUUUUUUGAGCGAUCGAGAAAGAAGGAAAUUAAGUAAGGGAUUAAUUGGACCUUGCAGCCGAGGGAGCAGAAGCGGAAGGGGUCGAGGAGGGCGCGGGCGCAGAUCUCGCAGUAGUGCGUGGACGACGCGGCCUUCCCGGCUGCGGCGGCCCCUCCGCCGCGCGGCUGCGGGCGCUCGUUGAGGAAGAGCACCCGCGCGCUGUUGAUGACGUACGUCUGCACCCCGCCGAUGUCCAGCGCCUUCUCCACCUCCGCCACCCGCACCACGUCGUGGUACGACGACCGCCGUAUCUACACCACACCACACCCGCACACUAUACUUCUUCCUCAGUCAUUAACUAGCUACUAUAUAUUAAUUAUUUGCAGCAUCAUCAAUCAUCAUCAUCAUCAUCAUCAUCGUUGUUGUUGUACAAUGUUAUUAGUUCUCUUUAUAUAUAUAUUAAAAUAAACAAACAAACAAACAAACAAACAAUUAUAUAUAUGUAAUGAAAUUUUGACCUGGAUGACGCGGUGGCCGGGGUGGAUGUCGGAGCGGCAGUAGAAGCAGAAUGCGGGGGGCGAGGGGCGGCAGUCCAGGCAGAACAUGUUGCACUCGCUGCGCGCCGCGUCGGCGUGGUCUGGGCACGCCGAGAAGAACUGCGUCGCCAGAAGCGGCUCCAGCCACGGCGGCACCAGCGUCGCCGCCGCCGCCGCCGCCGUAGAUUCCGCCGCCGCCGCCGCCGCCGCUCUUCUCAUUGUCAUCAAUUACGCCAAUUGAUCUCCGCUCCGACGGGCCGGAGCAAUGCCGAGGCAAUGCCGGACGAAAUUCGCAAGGUUAAUCACGAGCGCCCGCUCGAACAGCAGCACAGAGGCAACGAAAAGAAGCAACAACGCAGCGGCAAGAACAACAACAACAACAACAACAACAAAAAGCCUCAGACAAAGAGGAGGAGCGGAGAUAAUAAUAAUUAAUAAUAAUAAUAAUAAUAAUAAUAAUAAAAAAUAAUAAUAAAAGUAAAAAUAAUAGAAUGGGAGGAGAAGGAAAAAGGGGCGGAUGGGAUGGAUUCUGGGCCGUUGGAUGUGUAGACGGGGCCGGGUGCGGGGGGGUUUGGCGUACGCUACUUGGGAGGUGGUGUUCUUUGCGUCGCUUCGUAGGCGCUGCUACCGUCCGCAACAACGCUACGUAAUGCCAACCUGUCAAAGAUCCGCGGCUCCCUCGCAAACACGAAACAUCCGUAGAAUGCCACACGCGUGUGUACACGUCGCCCACACCGUGAGUUUUGAUUGGUCGGGAACCGUGCGACGGUGUUCGCACGCACGCACGCACGCGUUGCGUUGCGUUGCGUUGCGCGGGGGGUGGAAAAAGUGGGGAGUAGGGAAGCGUUUGGAGAAGGGGAGAGGCUAAAAAGUCACACGUGGAGAGUGGUGGGCGCAUGUGGCGUGUGACGUGGGAUUGCCAAGUGUCGCACGGAUCUUGGGAGUUUGCGGACUCCACCUUAUGCACCGCGUACUCCUUAGCGUACCCCAAACUCCUCCCUAUACGAAAAACAAAAAAGAACAGGGAAAAAUCCUAACCCUUUUAAAAGAACAAAAAUCUAUUAGAUACCACCCCCUUGGGCAUAUUUAUUUAAUUUGGUCUCUCCCAGAGACAAAAAAAUCAUUGUUUACAAUCAGUGCGUUUGUGUAGUCCUCCUCUACUAUUCUUUUCAUUGGUCCUUAACUUGACUAAAACAAGAUAUAAAACUGAUGGGAAGCGUACAUGUUCCGAAAUGUACAAAUUCAACAAGUGCAUGCAUUAAUUUCCUCGCACAAAAUAUUCAAACUAAUACGUUUGUUAAUUCACUCCCGAUUGCAUACUUUAACAAACGCUAGCUACUUAGAAUAUAUAGUCGUAUUUAUCCAAAUAGUUUUCAUAACGGUGAUUUAAAUUCCCACAUUUGUGUUUCAAAAUUAAUAGAAAUAGUAUCUAUCUAUCUCACUGUGUUAGCUACUCUACAUAUGUAUAAGCCCAAAAAAUAAAAAACAAAAAUACAAUUGCAUUAAGAUACACAUAUUUAUAUUUGUUUCGUUGAAUUUUUGGUGUUGUCGGUGAGCUCGGUCAACGUCAAUGUAGUUUUGUAUGAAGGUGGCUUGUCAAGUGCAAGGGCCAUUUAUGAUAAGCUGUUCACCCCAAUUGGAUUUGGAUACAUUCAUCCACCCAUUUAUUAAUUUCCCCAACCCAGGCCACAAUCAAUAAUAAUUAAUAAUUAAUAAUUAAUUCGUGGGAUUGAAUUAUUGUCAUUAUUUAGUUUUCCUAGCAUUGCAUUGCAUUUGUUGGAUUACCUAAACGUCCCCACUUAUUUAUUGAUGUCCCUUUUGUUACAAAAGAUUUUGUCAUUGUGUAGGUUCCAUGCAGGGACAUAUAGCUGUGACUUAGAUAGGGGUUACGAUCUCAUACAGGGUGUCAAAUGCAACAAAUAAAUUUAGGUUCGUAUAUGGGAUUAUACAUAUUUAGUUUUCGUGCAACGAUGCAAGGUAUUAACCAUCCCGGAUUAUUGUUGGAGGAAUAUAAUGAAAUCAAGCGGUCGGGAGUUGAAACCCUGAGUGCGUUUGCACCUAAUAUUUGCCACAUGUGGACCAUUCUAUGUAUAGAUGGCCUAUAGCACUGUAGAUGCACCGUUGACGUGGAUCGGUCCAAUUGAACAAAGAUUAUAAUGCUAAGCCUGAUCGAUUUGGGAACAACUGGUCCCUAUGUGUUCUAGGCCAGCUAGGCUAAAAUUACCAACCUAUACCAAUUCCCUUUUGGAGUCAAAAAUAAUUUGGAAAGUUAUAUCAAUAUUUUCUACACUUGUGCAUGCAUCACAUUAAUGUAUGUAUAUGGCACCAAAUUAAAUGACAUUUGAUAUGCACAAUAUUAAUAGCUAGUGCACACUCAUGGCCAUCAAUGCACUAAAUAAAGUGCCUUUUUCUUUUGCUCUAUGAGAGCAUAUCUUAGCUUAACCAAAUUAAUAAUAGAAAAAGUAAAAAUUUCCUUUUUGUUUAAUGAUAACAUUUUCUAAUGUUAUUAGCUAUAAGGGCCAAAAAAUUUCAUCAGUCCAUCAAAAGGGUGCCAUUUUUACUGAUUGGUUGGUUAGGAUGUCCCCUUCAUGAAUACACAAGAUUCUACUUUUUAGUCACUUAACACCUCUAAAAUAGGAAAGCUUCCACUCACUUUUUUCGCCUGCUUCUUCACCUUUUGUGUGUUAGGAUGUUACUAUCAUCAGGGAAGUGCCAAAAGUAUCAAAAGGAGUUGGGCCAUAUUCAUUUCUCAACCAACUAAUCAUUCUCCACUUUCAUAUUCAAAAAGAAGUGAUAAUGUGUUAGGGCUCCACCCUUCAUUGUUGGACAUCAUCUUCAGCAUUUUGACCUUUCUGUUUCGAACUUGAGUACCUAUAGUUUGAGUUGAGCAACUUGAGAUUGAUUUGUCACAUUCUCACAAUGAAUAAACAAUGCUUUAGCGCAGGACGUGACUGGUAUACAUCCUCGUUAGUUUUUAGGUCACACGCGUAUCCCUCAUCUGAUUACGCUCAAUUCUCAAACUAUUAAGUGAACAUAUACAUCUGAUUAGCUAACUCAUUUACGACAAAUGUUACUUUUAUAUAUAUAUAUUUCUAACAAAACAAAUAAUGGAUAGUCUUGCUAUAUAUUAAGAUAAAUCUAAAGAUACCAAUAUUUUAUGUAUCCAUAAAGAUUCUUCAAAAAUAUUGUUAAUGGUUUUUUUUUCUUUUUUAUGUAUUCUCAGUUUCUCAUGUGUGUUGCAAGCCACAUAUUGCCCCAACCAAAUCACUUUGUCACCCACAAAAUUGAAGCCACUUUCGCAUUUACCCUCUCAAUAAAUGAUAGGCACUGAGAAUACUUUUUGCUGGAACAUUUAAUUCUUUUUAUUCCCUAGAGAUUUUUUUUAGAUCUACUCAAGUUCACAAUUCCCAAGCAAAACGUACUCCUUCGCUGUUCAAGCAGCUUUUCUCAGAGAAAUACUCGACCCAUAAUGGCUAGCCUAGUGAUAUAGUAAUAAAUUAAAUUAAUAUUAAAUAAAUUAUUUAUUUGGUACAGAUAUAAUAUUUGGUAUUCUUUAGUAUUGACAAUUAAAUUAUAUAAAUGAUAUUAACAGUAUUAUUUUUAUUGAAACUAUAUUGACAACUAAAUUUAUUGAUUUAUAAAAUUGGGCUAAAAAAUCAGGUAUUGUACGGUUUGCUGAUUGAUCCAGUACACUAAUGCAGGUUUAACGUUGCGAAUUAAUUGGACUUUAUUAGCAAAAUUGUAUGCUUAGUUAAGCUUAACUUGUUGUCCAUGUUCAAUGAAUAUAUUAUCAGGAUAUUACUUUAUUCUCAUACAACAAAUAUAUAUUGAUCAUAUUCAAAACUAUAUUUUUAUGACUUUUAUAUGAUAAAGUAAUGGAAAUAAUCACCAAAAUUAAUGAAAACUUUUUAUUUUUAUUCUGUGGCAAUUUUGGUUUUUACGAAAUUCUUAAAAUCUAAUUUUUAAAUUUUAGGAUGGCUUUAAAUUUUUUGUUUGAGAUUUGGUUGGUGGCUUUUCAGAUUUUCUUUAUUAGGAAUUUGAUUGGAAAUAAAUCCGAAAACUUGUUACUUCCUUCAGUGCUAUCUAUUUUUAAAUUUCCCCCCUUUUUUUUUUGUUUGUUUGUUUUGGAAUACCAAUGUAUAAUGUACUUGCCCAUAAUUGUGAGUUGAUACACACAAAGAGGCUUAAUUUGUUUUUUUUUCUAAAUUUCUGUUUUAUAUCUUAUAUCUUUAUAUAACACAUACACAUCAUUGUGAUCAUCAUCAUCAGUUAUGUGUAAAACAAACAGCCCACUUUGGUUUUUUCCUUUUUUUUUCUUUUUUAAAUUAUUAUUAUAGUAUAAGGAACAAAGUACUCUGUUUUCUCCCCCUGUUCUCUUUCUCUGUAGACAAAGAAAAAAAGAGGUAAAACUCAAGGCUCAUUCACCAACCCCUCCUUUUCAUUAAUUUUCUCACUGGGUACUUUUGCUGAGUCAUAUUUUCAAUUGGGUACCCAUCCUUUUCAGUAUUUGCAAUGGUAAAAAUCCCACCUUUUCUCCUCCCCCUCCUCCCUCUCUGUCUCCUCCUCUGCUUCUCUCUGCUCCACCGCGCCGAUGCCUCUGGAACUGUUGAUGGAUCCGAGCACUGGGGAUACGUUCAAGUUCGACCAAGUAAAGUUAAACUCUCCAUUUUUCUUUUCUUUUUUCUUUUUUUUUUCUUUUGCUUUAUCACCAUUGUAAUUGAUCGAGCAAAAAGGUUUUUAACUCAUCUCUGUUUUUGUCUUUUUUUUUGUUGUAUGAACAAUGCAGGAGCACACAUGUUUUGGUGGCAUUACAGAAGCCCACAUAGGAUUGAGAAUGACUCAUCUCCAUGGCCAACAGUGUUGUGGCUGCAAGGGGGACCUGUAAAAAUCUCAACUUUUUUCGUUUUUGUUUUUGUUUUUGUUUUUGUUUACAUUGAUUAAAAAGAUGACAUUUUCACCAAUCAAAACACAUAACGACGGUAAUAACAGGGGGGCUCUGGUGUCGGCUUCGGCAACUUCUUCGAGAUUGGGCCAUUAGACAACAACCUAAAGCUGCGUUCCUCGACGUGGCUUCGCAAAGCCGAUCUCCUUUUUGUGGUAUUAAAUCUCUCUCCCUCAAGAGUUCUUCUUUUACAAGCUGUUAAUGAAUGAAUCUACAUUGUAGGAUAAUCCGGUGGGAACAGGGUAUAGCUUUGUGGAGGAUACAGGGCUCUUUGUGACAAGUGAUGAGGAAGCAGCAAUUGAUUUAACCACACUUUUGAAGAAGCUCUACAACAAGCAUGAGAGCUUGCAAAAAAGUCCACUGUAUAUUGUGGCAGAGUCUUACGGAGGCAAGUUCGCGGCGACGGUCGGCGUAUCGGUUGUCAAAGCCGUUAAAGCCGGAGAAUUGAAGCUCAAACUUGGAGGUUGGUAUUUGCUCUUUUUCAAUAUCAAUCACCUUAAAGAAGUGAAAUUUAAUGGACAAAUUUACUUUGCAGGGGUUGUUUUGGGAGACAGUUGGAUUUCUCCGGAGGAUUUUGUGGUGAGUGUUCACAGUUUGAAUCAAAUUCUCCCUCCAUUUCAAUUCAAUUCUUUUGUUUUGUUUUGUUUUUUUUUUUUGUGAUUAAAUUUGUAAUAAUGAAGUUAUCAUGGGGACCUCUUCUUCUCGACGUGUCGAGGCUCGAUAAAAAUGGCGCUGAGAAUUCAAACAGCUUGGCUGAGAAGAUCACAGUUCAACUAAAGAAAGGGCUUAACCGCGACGCAGAGAGAACGUGGGGCGAGCUCGAGGAUUUUAUCGCUUCGAAUAGUAACAAUGUUGUAAGUAAUCUAUGAUCUUCUAAUCUAGCAACAUGGAAAUUUCCCCGUAGUACUCAUUAACCUUUUAUGUAACAUAAUUUACAGGACUUCUAUAAUUUCUUACAAGAUGAUGAUUCCUCUGGCUCUAUAACAACUGUGGGAUCAUAUGAAGAAUCAUUCGCGAGGCGGUACUCGCGAUAUCUUAGCAUUAAGGCGGCGUCCUCGUCCUCGUCCUCGUCGUCGGGCAAUCUCCAUGAUCUAAUGAAUGGUGCCAUUAAGGAAAAGCUGAAGAUAAUUCCCAAGAAUGUGAGGUAGUAAUCUCUACUCAAGAACCAAAAUGUGUAGAUGUUUUAAUUUACCAAAAAUUCAGUAAAGAAGAUGAGGAGGAAUUUUGCUUUGAUUGAUUGUUUCUCUGUUGCAGCUGGGGAGCACAAUCUGACGAUGUGUUUGAUGCGCUCAGAAGUGAUUUUAUGAAACCAAGGAUCAAGGAGGUAAACAAGUCAACUAUUUUAUGUUAUUUUGUUCCAUGUGUGUUUUUUUUAAAAAAAAUUAUUGUAUUCUUUUUGAAAAUCUACAUUUGCAGUUAUCAAAAUAACAAAAGAACUAAGUCAAUUGCCUAGCUAAAAUUUCUGCUUGUGAUUUUGUUGUAUUUGAUACGAUUUCGUAUUUUAUGUAGGUUGCUGAUAUUACCUAAUACCAAUUAUAGUCCUAAUAUAUAUUUAUCUGUAAAUGUAUAUAAUGAAUAGUUAUUGCUUUAUGCUUGUAGGUUGAUGAGCUUCUUUCUCAAGGUGUCAAUGUCACCAUAUAUAAUGGACAGGUACUAUUUAUUCAUUUCCAUAUUAAAAAAAAAAAAAGAAGAAAAAAGAAAAAAAAAAUUGCUUAAUUUGAAGUAUUGGAAUUGGAUUCAUGUAAUUUGUGUUUUAUGAUAUUGAAAUGAGCUUGAAAUUUUUGUGAUAGCUAAAUUAUUUUAAUGUCAAAUAUUGGAGUUUCCUUUGGUUUAGCUUAUUGCACUCUUUUUCCCUUUAUUCAUGCAUCUUAAUUGUACAAAAUUUGGUUUUCCAGUGGCUAUGACUUUAACAUACUUGCACCAUAAUGGAUGCAUGCAUCUAAGAGCAAGUAACAGGAAAAUGUGAAACUAAAACUUGUGAACAAAUUGCAAGCUAGGAGUAAGCUAUCAUUCAAGAAAAUGAUGCUCUAGUUCUUAAUCAAGGAACCAUUUAUUGCGCAAAAGUUAAAAAUUCCCUCGAAGAAUCUAAUCACAACUAAUAAUCAUUUCUGAUCAACCAUGCUGACAAAAAAUAUAUUAUAUCGAUCGUAUAGUUAACUGAUAAAAUUGGGCAUUUGUGCUUCUGUGAAGCUUGAUUUGAUCUGCGCAACCAGAGGAACAGAAGCUUGGGUUCAGAAGCUCAAGUAGGGCUACUAUUUUUUUUUUCUUAUUUUCAAAAUUAAAUUCAUAACAUAAAUUUAGGAGCGGAUAAUGGACCGCGAUUCUCAUGUUUUACGCUUUUCAGAUGGGACGGGCUGACGGAUUUCACCGGCGCGAACAGAAAGGCUUUGUAUUGUGAUGGUAAUGAAGCAGGAGCCACCAAGGGCUUUGUCAAGUCCCACAAGAACUUACAUUUUUAUUGGAUCCUCGGAGCAGGUCAUUUUGUAAGUAUUUUCUAGGAUCAUCAAAGUUUUUUCUUUAUUUUAAUUUUAACUAUUAACUUGUAAGCAUGAGUGCUUAAGUUUCCUCCCCUGAUAUGUGGUAAAAAAGAAAAAAAAAAAAAAUCUCACUGCACAUUGUAUUUCCAUUCUACAAGUAAGUGAUUACAACAAACCAUUACUAACUUCAUUUUAAUUAUCUUCUCGAGCAUACUUAUGAGAGACAACAAAGUAUGAACUUUGUCAUGCAUAUUAUGACAUGUGAUGGUACAUGUAAUAAACAAAAUUUGAACCACCCAUGAAACAAAUCAAUGCUUGUCACUCAUUGAUUUCUUGUGUGACAUCCAAACUAACUUUGUUUGACUGAGUCAGUAUCAUGUAUUAUCAGCAGUAAGAUUAAAUGCAGCAUCUGUUCCAAAGCUUGUGAUAACUAAUUCUAGGUUUGUUCCCUUUGUUGGUGGUUUCCUAUCACUUAUAGGGCUCUUUAAAUGAUUCAAUUAAUGGUCCCUCAUGUGGAGGUUGGUAACUUAGGGCAAAGAUAGAUGGACAACCCCUUAACUACAUGCCAUGGUUUACACCUCUAGUUGGAUUUAUUGUUCGAAGUUGAAUCGCGUGCGUUUUUGUUAAUAUAACAGCUUCAUUAGCUAUCAACUAUUAAUGACUAACACAAAAUCCACAAUUCUAUUGGUUCAAAACUCACUCAGAACAAGCAAUUUUGUUAAUAUAUAUAUUUCUGUACUCGUUUCUUACUAGAUCGAUCUUUAAGAUAACAAAAUAUUGGAGCUAUAUCUAAGCCCCCUUCAUUUUGUGAGAUCGUAGAUUUAAUCUGCACCUUCAGCAUGCAUUAUCUAAUACUCAUUUUAAUUGUCAGUUAUUAAUUUCACGUGCCUUUUAUAUCCAUCACGUAUGUAAGUGUAAGUAAUAAUAUAUAUAUAUUUAUGGCCCCGUAUUUACUAGUUCGAUCUUUUGAAUAACAAAUUCAACAUGAAAAUAAUUGAGAUUAACAAAAUUUCUAAGUUAAUUUAUUUUUAUUGAGUUUAAGUGGUAUUUUUGAAUACAACAGAGUUGAAGAGUUGUAGGUACAUUUUCACUGUGCCCUUUUUUUUCUUUUGGGGAGGACACUCAGUACUGGCAUUUAAAGCUGAGAGGUUGGAUUUUCUCUACAAAAGGGGUGGCAGCAAAUGAACAGCAUUUCUAUGUUAAAAAAAAAAAAAGAAGAAAACUCUGUAAAUAAUUUGAUGACCAAACACUAGAAAAUGCCCAAAAAGGACAGGAGCAGGUGGAUGUAGCAGCAAUUUAUAAUGUAGAAGGGCCAGUUCAUUGAAAAGUAUUCUAAUUGUUUUUGAUGUCUCUCAUACUGGCAGGUACCUGUGGACCAGCCUUGCAUUGCAUUGAAGAUGCUGGGUGACAUUACACAUUCUCCAGCUACUGCUUCAUCUCACUGAGGGGGUCAAAGAAAAUAAUAAAUUCUUCUGACAAAAAUAACAAUUUUUUUUUUUUUAUAGUAGAAAUGUAAGUUUGAUUGUUUGAUUGUUUGAUGGACAAAUACAUAAUUUUAUUGCUUUUCUUCUUUGGAUAUUCUUUGUGAUUGGAGGAAAAUGUGGAAAUGCUUGUCAAAGUUGGUGGCUGUCAGGCUGGACAUUGCUGGACAAACAUAGUUCUUACAGAAUAGAUUAUGGAGGAUGCAAUUUCUGUGCACUGCUUGAUCUGACCGUCCAUCUAGAUGGAGAACAAUCCCAGCAUUUUACCAAUUGACAGAUUUGGAGUGAUUUCAAGUGAUUGUAAUAAUGUAUUCGACAUAUUUGGCGGCAUGUCGCAUUGAUUGGUCUGAUUAAAUUGCCCAGAAUUAGUUUAUGAGGCCAUUUGAGCAUUUUGAGUUAUUGACGAGUUCAGAUCAGUUUUUGUGUCUUAAAAGUAGUACGUAUGUUCGGCUACAAACUUUCGGCUCUUGCAAGACUUCUUUGCCGGAAGCAGAAAUUCCAAGAGCCAAGGGAUCUGCCAACAUACUAGUUUUAAGUCAGAACUAGGAACUCUUAUGUUGGUUUAGAUUAAUAUUUGAACCUUCUAAAUAACAUAACAUCCAAAUUAAAAGAAGAGUUCAAAUAUAGUAUGCAGAUGGAUUGGUUGCUAUCAAAUAGAGCACUAAAUGUACAUGCUACAAUGUACAAUGCUACAUUGUCUACAAACACUCUCUCUCUCUCCUCUUCAUCUUCAUUUAUCUAGGACCCAAGGUAAACUUAACAAGCAUUUGCCAAAGGACCUAUACAAGAAGCAGUAAGUAAAACCAAGUUAGCCCAACUUUUUCUCUGUAGGAUAUGGGUGGCAGGAAAAUUUUUACAGUGUGGAUUAAACUGCACAGGAAAUACAUCAGAAGAGCUCUCUCCAUACAGUGACAGAAGAAAUCAUUCCCAGCCCAUUAACAUCUUUGUUACUUCCUGGACUAUCUUGCUCGGCGACACGGAGAGCUCGUGAUCCUCGCCGAGGUGAAUUCGGUACACUUCCCACUCCCUAUCACCCACAACAUGCCUCCCAAUCUCGGCCUGGUUAUACAAAUAUAUGUAUUUUAAGUAAUGCCUAGAGGGGUAUAGCAGAAAAACACAAAGUACUAGCAGAAUUACGAAGAAUGUAGAGGGGAAUCACAGUACCAAGAAGAUCGGAAUGCGAAGUAUUUUGAGGGCGAGAGUGAUGUCGUAGAAAACUAGGGGACGGCCCUUGCCGGAUAAUUCGACCGGGUUUGCCACUAUAAGCUCCAUGUCGGGCCCUCGGCUCACGAUGGUCACGCGGAGUGGCCGGAACAGCUCCAUUCUCAAGCGAGAGCACAGCGCCUGUUGCUUGUUCGGGUCGACGAUUUUCUUACCAUCUACUUGCACUGCGAACAAGUCUAUCUCGCAGUUCCCAUUUUGACUGGUAUAGAAUCGUCCGUAAGAUAUCUGACAAAAAAAGAAAAAAGAAAAAAAAGAAAACCUGUAUCUGAAUUUGCCAAAAAUAAAAAAGAUAUCAGUAACUAAAUGGAUGAAAUGGCCAUGAUAAUCCUAUCUUUGUUUGGAUUUCACUUGGUACCUUCACUAUGGCCAAGUAAAUGUAUGUUCAUGCCGUGUGUAAUACGUGCUAAAUGUCUAUUUUGCAGGGUGUAUAUGCGAAAGAAAAUAAAAAUUCAUGUGAUGUCCUGUUUACCUGUAUGUUGUAAUCCUUGAGAGUCCUCAUGAUGUCGUAGAGGAUUCCCUUGUGGUCACCACACUGGAUCUGAAUAAGUGAAUGAGCGGGACUCAGAGAGUUGUCCAUCGUGACCGAUAUGUUCUUACACGUGGACGGAGACUCUUCCCUUCGGGAUUGUUCUUCAGGAAGCUCAAGUGAGAACAUCCGAUCAGUGAUCGACGGCGGUAAGGUAGAAGAAGCUUGAACGCAAGCAGACAUGUCUGCUCCGGCUUCUUCGAUCUCGCAACUCAUCAUCGAGCCCCCUAAAACAGUUCUCAGUUGAUUACAUGCCUCCUCCCUUUGGCUCUUCAUAUGAAGUUGCUCCCUGAAGCCAAUUUUGUAUUAUUAGCAUACGAUUAUCUAAGAGUUUGAUUAAUAAAUGGACUGUUGACACAGUACAGAGAAAUAAUUUUUCUACACUAAUCUUCGAUGUAGCAACUUAGCUGUUUAACACUUCUCCAAUGAAAUAACAAGGAAAAAGAAAUGGCAUUUAAUGUACGGCGGUUUAGAUUAACAGAACCAUGAGUUAUAUAAUCCUUAUUCUUAAAGUAAAUUCUAUAACCAUUAUUCAAUUGUUAGUGCAUCAGGGGGUCCUCAACCUUAAACAACAGUUUAAUUUUGGUACUCAACCUUUAAGUUGCUACAUUGUGGUUCCUCACCUUCAUAUAUCCUCUCACAAUCUUAGUACUUCAGGUAAAAUUUUCUCUUCAAAUGGAGGAGAUCUCCGCAAGAGCUAUAUGUAACUGCCCUAAGGCAACUUUCAUAUUCACAAAAAAGAUAAGGUAAUAAUAGAAUGCAAAAGGUUAAAAGGAUCAAAUCGCAGCAAUUUAAAGGUUGAAUAGCCAAUCUGAAACCACGCUAAGAGGUCGAGAUCCCCUAGUCCAAUUGAGGCAAAGAGAAAAAUGUUAUCCACAUGUAGAAAAACAGGACAAAAUUAAACAAGGAUAAUAUACGACCUCGUGUCUGUAAUGAAGAAGAGGUCGAGAACUCGCCCAUCCGGUGUGGUGGACACCUUCACCCUCCUGAUUGUCAGCUCAAGCUCACAUAAUACUUGGGUCACAUCUGUCCACAAGCAUAUAAUUCCUUAAAUAUCUUCUUAUUAUGUGACUUCUUCUUUCUCUUCAAAAGAGGCUAAAAAAAAAAAAAAAAAAAAAAAAAAUCGCAUUCGAAACCUAGCAAUAAUAUAGAAAGAGACCUUCAACAGAGGUAACCAAACUUUAGGAACUAGUCAACACUACAGAUCUUAAGAACCCAGUAACAUCCAAUUGAAAUUGUUGCUUCUCAAUCUGAAAUUUGCUAAUUUUGUUAGAUAUCAUAACAGAAAAAAAAACACCCCCCUCUAAACUAAAGAAAAGAAGUUGAUAUACUUUGUUUUCCCCAUUACAGUAUAUAUUCAAAACCCAUAAAGGGAUAAGCUCAAAUGCUCCAAAAUCCAACAACAAAAAAAGGACCCAAAAAAGAGAGAAACAAAAUCCUAAAGAGAAAGAUGGGAAAAAAAAGUAUAUCAACUUCUUUUCUUUANAAAAAAAAAUAGAGGAAAUUUACCAUGCAAGAGAUCCAAUCGAUCAUAGCAUGAGAACUUGAGGAGAAACACCUGUGGUUGUUGCACCAUGGACACCAUCUCCGGUUGCCUUGAGAAGUAGGUUUCUAUCACCAGGGGUGAGCUCACCACGGGGCAAACCCCCAUGAGCCUCUUCUUAAGCAAACCCCACCUCGUCUCCUUCCCUCCUCUCCCCACAACCCAGAACACUAUGAAACACCACUUCCCAUCCGUGCUCAUAUCUACACGAAAUAAAAGGGGGUGGGGGAAAAAAAAAAUCUAAUUUUUAGUGAGAAAAUUGAAACUUGUGGUAAGAUUAUUUAUCAAAGUUUCCAAUCACACCAAUCUUUUGAUAAUACGGUAUCAUCGCCAAUCCGCAACUAAAAGAUCGAUACGAUGAAAACGACUCUCACGUACUGUAUUAUCCAAAAUAAUCUGAUAAAAACAGUUUAAAAAAUAGCUUUUUUUGGGGUAACAAUUUGCAGGGAUUUCGAACUGGGCAUCACAUUUUAGACACAAAGAAGGAAAUUUUAACACAAAUUGGGGACAAAGACGCAAACUUUGACACCAAAAAUCACAUCAAAAAUCAAAAUUUUUAAUUCGGAGGGAAAAGGAGGGGGGGGAAAUGGGUUCACCUCCACGGACGAUGCUCAAUCCGAAGAGGAGGAUCACACGGCAGAGAUCGCAUCCGAGCCCCGUCUUAUCGGGGCAACUAACGGUGAUCACGCUGGGCUCCCCGUCCCUCUCCGGCUCCCUGAUCAGCACCACGUCGUCGCUCGGCAUACCCAUCUCAUCAAUCCCCUCUCUCCUCCUCCUCCUCCUCCUCCUCCUCCUCCUCUUACGGCUUUUGAAGCUGCUUCUGUGCGCAGCGCUUUUGGGUUUCGCCCCCUGUUUUGUUUUGACGCGUUUCUCUCUCUCUCUCUCUCUCACUCUCUCUCCUCCUAUGGGGUGGGAGAGGAGGCUUUUGAUUCUAGUGGUGGGAUUUGGCGUGAGAUUCGAAUAUAUCCAUUAAAGAGCUCGGAGAAAACUAUGGAUCGAGAGAGAGAGAGAUAGAGAGAGAGAUGGGGAGGGGAAUCAGGGGAAGGUGCCGCAUAGAGAUCUCUCUGCGUUCGCUUUUGUCCUUAGCUGUUGUUUUCUAUCCGCUGUUUGCUAUACUCACCCCGGAUUUUUUUUUUUUUUUUUUGCUAAUUUCAUACAAGUCCUGCAAACAUAAUAAAUUACAAAUAUAUUCAUAUAAAGUUUAAUUUUUAUAUGUUAUUCCUAUAAAAAUUCUGAUGUUUUCAAAUAUAUCCCUUUGGUUUGUUACUGUUAGAAAACUAUUAGAAACUGUUUAUAUUUUCAAUUUUAUCAUUAUAAAUAUAUUUAUUCAAAAGUUAUAACAGUAUAAUAUAAAAAAAUAAAAUGUCAAAAUAAACCAGCAUUAAUACUUAAUCUAUAGUUAACUAAAUUUUUCUAAUGAAUUCUAACGGCAAUGACAUAUUUGAAAACAUCAAAACUUUUGUAGAGACAACAUAUGAAAGUUGAACUUUAUAGAAAUAUAUUUGUCAUUCACUAUAUUUGCAGGAACUUGUAUAAAAUUAACCUUUUUUUAAAAAAAAUUUCGCUUCUUCUUCUCAAUGUGCCAUUUAACUUUUGUCUCAACUAACUUAUUAGUAUAUAAAUUUUCCACUAAUUUUAAUUUUAUAUUCUAUCGCUAUCUUGAAUAAUUUUAAAAUAUCAAAAUGAGAACUAAAAAUUAAUGUGAAAUCUUACAAAAAUAGGAUCAAUAAACUAUCAAUUUAGAUAGUUCUAAUAAGAAAUACAAGUUUUUUAUUUUAUUUUCAAUUUAUUGUGUAAUUUAGGACUAUGAAAAAUGCUUUUAUAUAGAACUAGCAUAACAUUUCAAACUUAUCCAUAUGAAUUUUCAAGUGAAUUCAAUAAUUAUUCUUAAAUUUUGUAUUAUAUUAAAAUAGAGCAGAAUAAAAAUUGAUAUAAUUUUUUAUGCAAGAUAUAAUUUAUACACAGAUUAAUAUACGAAAGAAAUUUUUGAAAUCAUGAACUAUAAGUCACAAUCAAAUGUUACAGCAAAAAAAUCUUUUUUAUCUAGAGAUUGCUUUUGAAAUUUUGAAGGACUUUAGCGUUUGACUAAAAGAGUAGAAAUAUAAAAUAAUAACAGUAAAAGGAACUUAUCAAUAUUGAUAGAACAAUUCUAUUUUAUUUAUAAUUUAUGAGUUUUUGUUAUAUUGACUAUUAGUACAAAAUGUAUAAGAUAUAUUUUUAUAAAAAAGAGUACCAAUCAUAAGUUCUUUAAAAUAAGUACUUAUAUGGAAACAUCUAAAUAGGCGAUGGAUUUAAAUAAUUUCGCCACCCCAUGAAUUGCUUUGUUAGCCUUAUUUAAUAAGCUUAUUUGUAAGGAGAGAUUUGCAUUUAAAUAAUAAUUUGUACAUCAAUAAGAAGUUAAAAUCGAUAAAUAAAAGAUUACAUAGAAAAUUAUAAUAAAUUGAAGCUUAGCUUAACAAUAAAAUAAACUAGAUAGUACUCUCAACAAAUAUUGCCAAAAAAUACAAGUUUAUUUUUUUAAGAAUUAGGAGUUGGGCCUCUAAAACCAAUUUUAUGUGAAAACUUUUGUCUCUCUCCAUCCCCACUCGUGUUUUUACUAGCAAAAAUUUCAAUUACAAAUAGUAAAUGAAAACAAAAAAAUUGAAAGAAAUAAAAUUUUGCCAUAUAACAAAACACUAUUUGAUCAUCAAAUUUUCCUCAACUUUUCAUUUUUUUUAUCUUCCAUUCUUUUAAUUUUUAAAAAUCCAUCAAAUCAAUAAAAAUUAUUAUAUAGUAAGAUUUUACGCCGAAAUAAUAAAUAUUAAUUGGUGCUGAUGCAAUAAUUUAUAUUGGAAUUAACAAAUCUUUUAACAUUAAAAACUAAAUUAAAAUAAAUAAUAAAUAUAAAAAUUUUAUUAUUUAAAAAAUUAAAAAUUGAAACGAAAUUAAGAAAAAUGGAUUAAAGAUUAAUUAAUUAAUUAACUCAUCACACAGUGGAAAAAAAAAGGGAAAUUUUGGUGGGUAAGAAUAUCAUACUUGUUUAGAAAAUUAAAUACAAAGAGUAAGUGCUUCUAGAAGAGUUGGCACGUGACAGGUUGGCCCUUGACCACUUUUAGCUAAUCCCAAAAGCGCCAAUCCAACGAACUCCAAAUCGAACGGCUCUGAUUUCGUUUAGAGCACUAAGCGAGCGGUCCUGAUUAGUUCAUCAAUCGAGAGUCCACGUGGCGCGUAUCCGUGAUGUCCCAUUUGCGAGGUGAUUCGGAUCGAAGACCACUCCGACAUGUCGCUAUCAUUAAUUAUUACAUGCCCCCCUCAACUAUUUCACGUUCUGAAAAUGCGCCUUCAACUUUAUUUUUUUAAUUCGAAAAUAUACUUUUAAUUUUUUGAAUCAAAACAAUUAAUAAAUGAUAGCUAAUAAAGGUGAUGAAGAAAAUAAAAGUUUCGACUUAAUUAAUUAAAAUAAUUUAAUUUUAAAACUCACAGUUUGAACUUGCCUAUAAAAAAGGGUAAAUUUUAUUUCUAGUCUUUGGUCUUUAUUUUAUUUUAAUUUAUACAUUUUGAGGAUAUUUUAUGUUAAUCUUUAUUAUAAAGUAAAAAUUGCUUAUGGCAUCUCAUUUAUUGGUAUGUUUCAUGCACUUCAAAAUUUAUAAUUUUUUAAAUCUAUUAUAUAGUUUCACUUUAAUAGUAUAUUUUAUAUAUAGAGAGAGAGAAAAAAAAUUAUAAUUUAUUAGAUUGUAGAUUAAAAAUUAAAAGUCAAAAAAAUGUAUGUCGUAAAGAUAUACAGAUGCAGCCGGUGUAGAACUUGAAGUAAAAUUCUUUUUAAAAGUUUGGAGACGCAACAAUGUCAGAUUUUGAAAGUUUGAGGAUCUGAAACAAAACGUUAAGGGGGCUAUUUUAGAAUAGCAUAUGCUUGAGGGAUCUCAAUGCAUGUUUACCGUACUACAUCACGUAGAGGGCGUCAUCGCGCGCCACGUGUUUAUUUCGUCAUGGGCGCUCUUUUAUGUCCGAGCCGACCAGCUCCUAAUCACAUGCUACACUUUUCAUGUAUUUUAUUAUUAUUACUUGUUAUCAAUAAAGUUUCACUAAUCCAUUAUUAACUAUAUAAUAUUAUUUUAGUGCAUUAUUAACUCAGGUUUAUCCAGUGAAUAAUUACCUGAGGACUCGUGGUCAUUCUAAAACUUAAGUAGAACAGUAAAUAUAUAAAUUUUUGUUGGUAUUCGGUAGUUUUUAUUUAUAUGAUUUAGAUAUCUGGUAUUACUAUAUUAAUUUUUAUAUAAAAGAACUUUUCACCGGAUUCGCCGAAAUUUGAGCUUACCUUCAUAGUUUGAAUCUCAUUUUAAUUGGAUUUCCAUCGAAACUUAAUAGGCCGGAUUUAAUAAUUCUGAUAAUUAUUAUAUAUUUUAUAAGAAUCAGAUUUCAGUUCUUAUUUUAUUCUGUAAUAAAAAAAGACCUAAUUCAUUUAUGACUUCAUCAAGUUCUGAGUCAUGAACCAACUCACUUCAAAGUAAACAUCUCUCCCUCUUCAUGAUUGAUUGCUCUUCUUUCAUAACCAAAACUCUUAUAUCCAAAUUCUAAAUAUAACAUUUGUUUAUUCCAAUUUUUAUUUUAAUAAUAAAUUAAAUAUUUUUAAAUGAUUCGUCGUUUUACUUUUUUCAUUCUAAUAUAAUUUAAUUUAACUUUUUAUUUUCAUUCUAAUCAUGAAUCGGACGUGUUCUUAAAUUCUUCGGAAAAAAAAAGAAAAAAAAAAAAGCUACUUUCAUGUGAAUGCAUGUGGCUACGUUCUAUUCUUACUAAAUUAGCCGAAUAAAUAAUGAGCAAGAUCCCAAUAUUUAGCCGACCAAAACAAUUUAAUUAAAUGUUGAAUCUCUAGAGUGUUGUAGCUAGGAUCUCUAUCAACCUAAGACAAUUGGGGGUUUUUUUUUUUAAUUGUAUCAUAAUUAGACAAAUCAGAAGAAUUUUCAACCUAAUGCAAGUUGGUGAUGGCAACUAACCCAAAUGGCCAAAGAUUGGGACAGGAGGCCUCCCAGUACUAGUGAUCCAUAAAUGUUACUGUCCUGCCAUCUUCUAUUGUCCAAAACUAAAGCUUCAAAAAAAAAAAAAAAAAAAAAAAAAAAAAAAAAAAAAAAAAAAAAAAAUCCUUCUAUGCUUGCUCUCAAAGAUUUUCUCCAAUAUUAUUAUUGUGUCAAUAGUCACAUGCGACAUACAUCCAAAUUAGCUGAUCAACUAUAUGUACACUUUGAUUUAAAUAUCACCAGUUCAUGAAUGAUACUUUCAGAAUCACAUAAAAAAAUAUGAAAAGGCUUAUUCUAAUACAUGAACAACUUAAUAAGUAAUACAUAUUUUUGUGCACUUAAAGAGUCUCAUAGGGAUAUAACAUAAGUAUUCUCUAAAUUAUUUUUUUCAAAAUAAAAUAAAUUAUUUUAUAUGUGAAAUGUAUUAUUUUAAAAAAUUUAUGACUGCGGAAGCUUCACAAUGGACUAAAAGUAAACUCCCAAAUUACAAUUUCAAAAAGAAUAAACUUUCCUGCCGCAAAAGUUAUUUUAUAUUAGAUAACUUAUCUAACGCCAAACUGGCUAAAAAUAUUUUUCGACUUGUAUUUGUGCAAAAGAAAUGCUUUGGAUCCGCUAGAAUUAAUGUCGAUCUUAUAAACUACAGAUAUGUUGACAAACGCAUAAAGCAUCUUUUUUGGAAAAACAUGUAUACAUACAUUUCUUUUGAAUAAGUUCAUAGAUUUCAAGUGGCAAAAAAAUUUGGUAGUUGAUAUUCGAAACUCAAGUUUUAAUCCUAAUUGAUUCACAUUUUCAGCUAAGUUUAUUUCUAAUAAAAAUAAACGAAGCGAAUAGUAUGCUACCUUUCUCUCUCUCAAAAAAAAAAAGAAAAAGUUCAUAGACUCCAAGAGCCAAAAAAUCACCCUAUACACAUAUAUAAAAAUUAUUUUUCUUCAAUCGUCUUACGACCCUAUUUAUAAAUUCACGGGCGGAGAUCGUUUCCCAAUAUCUUGGAUCAGUGUCUGUGGUAACAAUUACUAGGCUAGUCGGCAAUUCUUUAGUUUAACUUAUAAGAGCAAUUACUAGGUUAGUCAACAACAUAUCGUACUUAGCGCAAGUGGCAAAGAGCUGGUGUUUGGUACCCGAGGUUCUAAGUUCGAAUCUUAAUUGAUUCACAUUUUCAACUAAGUUUAUUUCUAAAAUAAAAUAAGUGAAGCGGGUAGCAUGCUAUCAAUCUCUCAAAAUAAAAACUUAUAAGAGCAAUAUUUUAGAAAGACCGGUCAAUAAUUAAAGCACUCAGCAAGAAGAAGAGUUGCAUUGUGACAUUAGGAAUUAUUUGGAAGCAGAAAGCUAGAAAACAAAAAUUUUAUGGGUUUUACAAACUCAAUUUUAUCUCUUAGGCCAUAUUUGGAUGGAUAGUUAAAAAACUCCAUGAAAUUUUUAUUCUAUGAUUUUGGUUUAAAUGAAAUACGGAAUCCUAUAACUAUAAAAAAAUUCCACAGCUUCAUUUUUAAGCUUUUUGGAUACAUAUCAUAUAAUUCCACAGUAUUUAUAACAAUUUAAUUUCUAAAAUUUUAAAAUUUUAAAAUUCAAAAUUCAAAAUUCAAAAUUUAAAAUUUAAAAAUAAAAUUUAAAAAAUUAAAAUUCAAAAUUCAAAAUAUAAAAUUAAAAUUUAAAAUUUAAAAUUAAAAAAUUAAAUUAGAUUUUAUGUUUUAAAUUUGAAAUUUGAAAUUUGGAAUUUGAAAUUUCAAAUUUGAAAUUUGAAACUUUAAAAUUUAAAAUUUAAAGUAUACCAUUUAAACUUUAAAUUUUGAAAUUUAAAAAAUAUAUAAUUAAAAUUUUAAAUUUUAAAUUUAAUAAUUUAUAAAUUUACAUAUUUAUAAAUUUAAAAUUUAAAAUUUAAAAUUUAAGUUUAAAUUUAAAUUUUGAAAAUUAAAAAUUAAAAAUUAAAAUUAAAAUUAAAAUUUGAAAUUUGAAAUUUGAAAUUUGAACUUUUUGAAAUUUGAAAUUUGAAAGUUGAAAUUUGAAAGUUGAAAUUCGAAAUUCGAAAUUCGAAAUUCGAACUUUUCGAAAUUCGAAAUUUGAAAUUUGAAAUUCAAAAUUUGAAAUUUGAAAUUUAAAAUUUGAAAUUUGAACUUUUUAAAAUUUGAAAUUUAAAAUUUAAAAUUUAAAAUCAAAAUUAAAAUUAAAUUUUAAAAUUUUUAAAAUUUGAAAUUUAAAAUUUUAUGUUAAAAUUUAAAAUUUAAAAAUUGAUACAUCUUUAGGAGCCCAAAAGGUGGAUAUUUUUUUUUUUUGGUUAAAGUGGGUUGUAAGUUUAUUCUAUUUUUUGGAGUAUAGUAUAAUUAUACUCGUCAUUUUUUUUCUUCCAAACGCUUUAUAGGAUUAUUUUCCUACCGGCGUAACAUAGUUUAACUGUACUAUAUUUUUAAAGGUAUCCAAACGGGGCCUUAUUCUUAAAAAUGAAAAGGCGGAUCUUCGUAUAUUUAUAUGCGGGAGUUCGAAUAAUCUUACGAUUUCAGUAUCAAAGCAACUGUUGAUGCCCAGGAUCUUGUCGAUUUCACGAAUUGACCCCUUAGAUCCAAAAACACAAACAGACCCUACACAGUAAAUAAGACUAACUAAUUAUACGAUCUUACUAAUCUUAAUCCUUGGGAAUCUAAUCUAAUAAUAGUCUUUGGGUCAAUUUGUCUCCCAACGAUGUUCGCGCGGAUCUGCUGCAGAUCUUGGAGACAGGCACGUGCGAGGACGGCUGGGCGAGGAUUGUUACGUGUCCCUCCCCUCAAUCCUAUCCAUAUAUUUUGGUAUAAAAUAAUUAGAUGUUUAAUAAUAUCCAUUGUACCUAGAUUGCGAUGUGAAUAUUCUACGGCCCCUAUUUAUAGGCCCUAACACAUAUUCAAAGUUUUUUUAAAAAAACAAAUGUGUCGGUAGCGAACACGGGAAUAGAUUCUCUCAUGUUGAAGUACACAAUCCAAGCGCAACUUUUUUAUUCAGAGGAACUAAUUUAGAUCAAGAAAUUGAGUUAAACUAAGGCUUGGUUCUGGAAAUAUUGGCUCCAGGAAAAGUUUAGCUCUAGAUCAAUUUUAAUAGUUGUGGCAAUUGAAGAUCGAACUCUCAAUUUUGCAAAAUAAUAAAAGAAAUUAGAAAUAAUUCUAGUAUAAUUCUAGUAUAAUUCUGAUAUCAUAUUAUCAUUGAUGGUCUCUAAUACAAGUGAUAAAGAAUAUGAUAAUUGAUACACGAGGUUUCUAGUUCACAGCCUAAUUAUUUUUUAUUUUCAGCUAAGUCUAUUUAUUUUUUUUAAAAAAAUAAAACGGAUAGCAUGCUAACUUUUUCUAAAAAUAUAUAAUAUCAUGUUUUUUAAAACAUUAAUUUAGUAAAAAGCAAUAGAAAAAUAUAAAUGUUUACUAAUUACGUCGCAAAAUAGUGGAAAUUAGAGGAAGAGUAUACAUGAACAAAUGGGAGAAGCCCCUGCAGAUUUUAAAUCCUUUCAAUUUUACUUAAUUAGAUUCAUAAUUUAAGGGAAUUUUGAUUUGUCCGUAAUAAAAAAAAUGCUGUACAUAUAUAUAUAUAUAUAGAAGAAGUGAAUUCACCAUAAUUAAUACUAAUAAUAAUGGAUAAAGCAUAAUGAAAAAUUAAAGGAUUACGUUGUCGACGUACACCAAUCAAAUUAAGCGUUACUUAAGUAGCAAAUUACCCCCCAUUUACCCCGUUGUUUAACACCGAUCGACAAUGGUACAAGAUCGGAAAGAGAAAGGAAACUUCGUGCACGAUGAAAACGAAAGAAGAGAAGAGAAAAGCACUUCCUAAAAAGCACUUCUAAUUAAUUAGAUUUAAUUAAGAAGAAUGGUAGUGAACAUUGUUUUCGGUUGGUGUUAGUAUUUUAAUUUAGCCAUUUGGACUUUAAAGGCAAGCAAAGCUUAUUUAGGAUGUAGCUUUAGCUUUUUUAGGUUUUGCUUUGGCUUCAGCUUUUCGCAUAAGUUAAGCAGUUUGAGUGGAAGUAGGGACAUGGUGUGGACUCUCCUCGUUGGUGGUCAUAUGGUGCAACACUCAUGUGAUUGAUGUUGAUGGAAACAUUAAGCUCGAGUGGAUAGGUUUCACUUCACUAGUGAGACAAAUGUUUUAUAAAAUAUAUAUAUAUAAAAUAAUCUGAAAUAACCAUCACUGUGUAGCAUUGAGGAGUUAAUUAUCUACGGUGCAAUUUUUAAGAUCAGCAGAUUCAAAUCUCUGCAUGUGCGUUAUGAUUCCUGAGAAUCUUAAGAAUUAGGAGCCUACGCACAACUUUUAAUACUGUUUACGUUUUCUUCUUUAGAGGGCACAGAGAAUUUGGGUUCUAAACAUUUCAUGAGUAUCAUAUGCCAAGCCCAAGGCCAAUUUGUUGGGCUUGUUUCGUAGGUUUGGAUUCUCACACUGAACAAGGCUCGGCCCGAUCCAACUACGCUUCUCGCAAUAAUUAAAUUGAUUUUUGAGUUCGGUGAACUCAAAUGAAUUAGAUUUGGAAUUAAAUUUUGUUAUUAGGAACAAAAUUGUGAUGGGAUUGAAUUUCUCUCUAUAGUAAGCACGAAAAUAAAACGAUUGAUCUUUCUUAUCUUUGGGAAACUAAACAAGAGUCAUUAUUUAUACAUUUUUUCUGUCAGUAAAAGCGAUUACAGGGUACAAAUUAAUUAAUAAGUACCAAAUCAAAUAAAAUGAAAAAAAGAAAAAAAAAUCUGAAUUAAGUGGCUCGAGUGUUGCCAAUUUUACGUCAGGUACGUAGAAUGAAUGCCAUGCAUGAUGCAUGCAUGUAAGUUGUAACGAAACCCAUAUUAAUUCGUUAGCUUUAUGAUUCUCAUUAAUUUAUGCAUGGACAAAUUAUUAUUAUUAUUAUUAUUAUUAUUAUUAUUAUUAUUAUCAUCAUCAUCAAAAUAAAAAAAAAAAAGGACACCAUGCAGAAAACUUUAAUCCGCUUCCACAGGGCGAUCCUACAAUCUCUCUCCACCCCUCUUAUCUCGUAUAAAAAAUGAAGCUCCUCAUAUUUCCGUUUCCUUUCUCUCUUCUUAUUUUCUCUCUCAACCUUAAAUCUUCGCGUACAACUAUAUAAACAUAAAAAAAUAAUAAUAUAUUAAUAUUAUAGUAUAGAAAGGGGCCGGGGUUGAAGAUGGCGGGGGCGGCGGAGUUGUCGGCGGAGGUGAUGGAGAGGAUCUUCAAGCGGUUCGACGGGAACGGGGACGGAAAGAUAUCGUUGGCGGAGUUGGGGGAGGCGCUGAGCGCUCUGGGGUCGACGUCGGCCGACGAGAUCCAGCACAUGAUGGCCGAGAUCGACACCGACGGUGACGGAUACAUCGAUUUCGCCGAGUUCACCGCAUUUUGCCGCGCCAACUCCGGCCUCAUGAAGGACGUCGCCAAGGUCUUCUAAGCCUCUCCUUGAAUAGUGUGUCGUACGUUGCACCACAAAUUGUUACAUCUAUAUAUAAUUUUUUUUCAAAUUUUUUAUCUUAUUUUCUCUGCAUUUUUAAAAAAAAUGGUUGAAGAGAGUAACAUGAAUUGAAGGAACUAGUCAUAAACGUUAGAGUGAUGUGGAAAGUAUUCAGAGAUUCACCUUUUAUUAUUUGUUAUUAAUUAUUAAUUAUUAACUGUAUAAGUGACAAAAAUUGAUGUGAAAACAGAAAUAUAUAUUUGUCUUAUUUUAUAAUUUUAUUUACGUGGUAUGAAAUGUUGGGCCUGCCCAUGUCCAACCCGAAUUUGGUGGACUAAGCGGGCCCAACAUUUUCGUUCCGGAUCCGGGCAAAAUUGAUCCAUUAAUCCGUUUUGUAUUUGGGCUUUAUCCAAUUUGGGUUUAUUGGGUCAGAAAUACAGACAAUUUUAUAAGAAUAAAAUGAAUAUUUAAUUAGUUUCGAAAAUCUACUCUUCAUAGUUAUAUAUAUUUGGUUAUUAAACAAUAAUGUUUUUAUCACCACUGUCUAUUGCGGUUGGUCGGGACCCUGGGUCAUCGAUCAAGCAUUUGGGUUCGAUUUAAAAUCUUUAAGUAAGGUAUUAAUAUAUUCUCGAUUAAUUUUUGUAGAUUUUUUCAUCUCUCAAACAAUCUUAUCAACUGCAAAGGAAAAGAUAUAUUCAUAUAAACCAGCAGGUGCAAUAAUAUUUAAGCAUAUGCAUGACAAUUAAUAAUUUCCUCAUUCCAGUGAAUCAGAUUCAAAGGGAGCCACCACAAGGCCAUAACCCCAAAUGGGUACGGGUCCAUAUAUUGCUGGAUCCCAACUUGACUAAACAAGCCCUUGCCACAAAAUGGUCCUGUUAAAAUGUUACCCACCAAGGGGUUGGUAUCAUUCUCCCAGUUGAACACUUUGGAGAGAGAGAUCUUUGAUGAGGACCAACAAGGAAUCUUAGCUUGAGAUGGGACUUUAACCCCAACAAGUGGAAUCAAAACUUAUUGCCCAAAUCUGGUGUACAUGUACAAAGUAUAUUUCAUGCACCACACCCUUAAUUAAGAUCCUAUACUAAAUGCCUCAAGAAUCAAACUUAUAAUCUAGUUCAUUGAAUCGUAUUGUUGGUCAUUGUAGAUAUUUUAGAUCACAUCUAUGAGAUUAAAUUACAAAUUAUCCGUGGUGCACGCACCAAAUGUAAGCAAUAAUUUCUCCAUGUAGAUAGAUUCUAGAUGCAAUAUGAUCUUUCCUCUCUCUCUCUCUCUCUCUCUCUCUCUUUCUCAUCAAUCCCCUCUAUUGCGAUAUACCAACUUUUUCUAUCACUUGGUGAGUUGGUGGUGGGGAGAAAUGGAUGGAUAUCAUGUGUAGCAUAUAUAUCCCUUUGCGGGACAAAAAUAAAGGUCGAAGCACUACAGUGGCUUUUGUGAUCAAGUGUGUGGUCACUUUAAUUGCUACGACCUUUGACCCUUGGGCUUAUGAUUUGAAGGCGUUUGGACGCACGAGGGGAACGUAACUUGGUUGGGUUCAAUUAAUGGGCGUGGAAAAGGAAUGGUCCAAGGAAUCGUAGUUGGUUUGUUAUACGUAACUUGGACUAUUUCGUAGUGUUGUCUCCUGAAGAGUGAUGUGAAUGGAAGCAACUUGAGCAUCGGUUGGUUAUGUAUUUCUAUGAGAUUAUGGUAGUUUCUUUCUCUCAAUUAUUCGUAUGGUAUACGUGCUCUAAAAGGUUAGGAUGGAGCGCGCACGAUGGAGCCACGAGAGGGAUUGUUGCUUAAUCUAACAAAAAAUUAUGAUAUGACAAGGGUAAGGUUUCACGUGAAAAGUUUAAAUUCAGUCCCUUGUUUGAUUUGGACAUCACAUUAUCAAAGUAUCACGCGGAAUCCCAUUACCUGAUGCUUUCUUCAGAUACAUGAAGUUUUGGGCUACCGUAAGACAAUUUUUUUUUUAAUUCUUCAUUCAAAAAAAGCAGAAAAAAGAAGAAGUCCCAACCAAGGGAUUAGUCUCAUAGUGAUGAGCUGCGUCGUUACCGGAUUUCUCUUUUUAGCAACUUAAUGGAGACAGCGCGCCAACCACUACAUAAAUAUAGCAUGGUAAUAGAUAUUCGAAUAGCGGAUCUUGAUGUCAUGAGUCUAAGCCACUACAUGUGCUUCUCAUUAGAGACUCUGUGUCCUUGACUUCAGAAUCUAAAUAUAUGGACUCUUAAUUAGGAUAGAGUUGCAACUGCAAGUAUAUAUAUAUAUAUAUAGUUUGGUUACUAUACUCUUAUGAGUAUAAAUCAAUUUGUACUCAUAAUUUUUCGAUCGUUAGAUCUACUCUUUUGAUUAUUUCUACUUGUUAGAUUAUACUAUUCAACCAACUACCCACUCAAUUCUAGACAAUUACUAUCAUCCUAACCGCACGUCCCUUCAUCCAACAAUUAAAAAUUUAUGAGUACAAAAAAGUCUAUAUACUUAUAAAGUAUAGUAACCCUAGUCUAUAUAUAACUUUUUACUUCAAUUUUGAGUGAUAGAACGGAUCUUAAGUACUUCUUUCUUCCUGCAACCAGUUGAUCAACCUGUUCAACAGGUUAUAAUUAAUUUGUGCAUGUUUGUUUAGUAUCAGGCCCUAAGAUAAAUAAGGCCAAACUUGCUUCACGGCGGGUUCAUCUGUUUGAUUGGCUAGUCCACUACAAUCAAUUCAGCUUAAAAUUACAAAUUGUAUAUUACUUUACAUUUUUUUUGGAGAAAGAAAGAUAACAUGUUACCCGCUUCGUCUAUUUUUUAAAAAUAAAUUUAGUUAAAAAUAUAAAUCAAGUAGAAUUCGAACUUAGAAUCUCAGAUACCAACUACCAAACUCUUUGUAACUUAUUUUUUUUUUAUAUUUAUCCAUUUGUACACCCAACGGAAGCGUAUAUACACAUAUGUAUGUAUGUUUAUAUGUAUGUACAAUGUACAGCAUGGCGCGCGGUGAUAUAUUUUAGAUGUAAACUAACAAGAAUCAUCGAAUAUUGUGAUCAGUACACGAUAGCUAAAUACUGAUCAUAUAGUAGCAUCAUCACCCAUGCAUCCUUUAGACCUUGAAGUGAGAGGCGCAGUACAUUGACGCGGCAACCACUGUCCCCUUCUAAGCCGAUGCAAUAAUAAAUGGCCAAAAUGAGCUGGUCGAUUGAUCGUAGAGUACCGAGCAAACACGCAUGGUUUGUGUACGUUCGCACUUAAUUUGCUGCGUUGUUUUGGAGCCACAUAUAUAUAUAUAUAUACACACACGCGCGCGCAGAUACGCCCAAGAGCACGAGACGUGCCUUUAACAUUUUCUGCAAUUACCGACUGUCUCUAACGCAAGAGAUCAUAAAAGACUUAAUAAUUAAUAACAGGUUGAGAUUUCAAAUUUAAAUUUUAAUUAAUUUAUUUUUUAAAAAAUAAAUUAAAUAAAUAAUAUGUUAUUUUUCUGUCUCAAAAAGAGAACCGAACAUUUCGGGAGAUUUAGUUUCCCACCGGGCUCAAACUGAGAGAGAGAGAGAGAGAGAGAGAGAGAGAGAGGAACAUGCACUGCUGUUGCUUUUUCAUGGAUGCAUGCGAGUAUGCGACACCCCCAUCGAACCUCCCUCUCCUCGGGAUCAAGCAUGCCGUGAGGGGACAGGGAUGAGGUCGCAUGCGGAGAUUUCAUGCACACCUGCCUACACCUUGUUCACCACUUCAUCCAAGAGUUUCACUCAAAUCACAAAAUAUUUGAGUGUAAAUUUUUGAGCCAUAUAAUAAUAAAGUAAAAAUAAGCCCGGAGGUAAAACUUCUUCUUGUAAUUAUUAUGGUUUAGAAUCUCAUUCUUUUGAUUUUCGUUGCAACAUAAGCUUCGAUUUUUCCCUCACCAAAUACUAGUGUUCAAAGAGGAUAGAAUUAGACGCACGACGAAAUAUGCAUACCCUCGGUAUCUUUUAGAUGCUACAGAUUAUAAGCAUCGGAUGAUUAAAAAUUUACAAGUUUUACGAUCUCCAUGAAAGAGUUUUGGAAAGAACAAUCUGCAGUGGACUAGGUGCAGGCAAUAGUUUCUUAGAAGAAUAAAAAGGGAGGGGUGAGAGAAGAAUCUGUUCUUGGCCUUGGCUGAAGAGCCGGCCAAGCAGAAAAGUGACCAAGGGAUCUACAGCCUGCAUCCUCUUUUCCCCACAUUGAGAUCUGCAUUUACAGCUACUUAAUUGUAUGGUAUCCUCUUAACAUAUGGUUGUUGACAAAAAAAAAUUUCUUCUUCUUUUUCACUUGGAUGUUUUGUAUAAAUUCGGCUACUUAAAUUUACUAGUAAAUUAGAACAGCCAAUAUACUCUUCAUAAAUAUAGAAAUUUUUGUUUUUUUUUUUUUAUAAAAUAAAUGCAUUGAAUCUGAUCGAUUCAUCGAAUCUAUACCUAAUCGAUCUAUGUGUAACAAUAUUUUUCUGUAAAUAACACAUAUUGGCUCUUAAGAACUAUGUAUUUGCACUCAAAUCGCCUCUUCAUCACUUCUACGUCACAAGGCAUUAUGAGAAUUUUGAUGUUAAGUUAUUGGGGGGAUUAAUCAAGCAUUAAAACCUCAACUUUAUUUCUUUCUCAAUCUUUUUAUUCUUUGAUUUCCAUAAUGAUGCAAGUGACGGAUCUUAUUGAUUCAAUAUUUGAUCCUUCGUUUUGGAGAAAUAUAUAUAUAUCUUUUUAGCUCCUCAUGGUAACAGUAUGAGGAACAUUCACGGCAUAAAGAAAAGCUAUAUACAUCCACAGAUAUUAAAAAAAAGGGGCAAUUGCCUAUAUACCCUUGAAAAGUUUCCGGUUUUUUUAUUUAUCCCUCUUAGAAGGCUAAUAUUGAAAAUACCCUUCUUAUGUUCCAAGUCUUUCUAAUAUACCCCUGGAGUUAAGUUCCGUCAGUUAGCUGCUGUUAUCUCUGAAAAAUUACCAUUUUGCCCAUUCCAAUAUACCCUCGUACCGUAACUCACUUAUCUUAUAUACCCUUCAUAUACAAAAUAUUUUUCUUAUUUGCUCUUUAAAUAUCAAUUAAUUAAUUAAGCACGUUGGGAGCGAGCAAAUGAACGGAUGAGAUUGAUCGCAGCUAAACCAAUCUUAGUGGCGCGAGCAAAUGAACGGAUGAGAUCGAUCGCAGCUAAACCAAUCUUAGUGGCUGGAGGCAUAGUUAGUUAAUUCGGAUUCGGCAAAAAUUCAGUACAGAUAUAAUUCGAAUAAAAUUCGUCUUUUAAUUUUUAAAUUCGUUGAAAAAUACGGCUAAAAAAUAGAUUCGACAGUUAUUCGAAUACGUAAUAUAUACGGGUAUUAUACGUUCACCAAUUAAAGAUUCCAGAUCAAAAAUUCGGCUAUAUAAUAAAUAUAUAAUAAUUAAUAUACUAUAUAUAUUAUUAUUAUAAUUUUUAUAUAUAUAUUAAAUAUAUAUAUUUAAAAUUAUAAUAAAUAUAUAUUAAUAAUAUAUAAGAGUUAUAUAUUUAAAAAUAUUAAUAAACUUAGAUUUGUGCAGAUCAAAGGACUAAUUUAUUCCAAUUAAUCUCAGAUAUUAACUAUUCCACCCUAAUUAACUCUCCCAAUUAACUCUUCCACCCUAAUUAACUCUUCCAAUUAACUCUUCCACCAUAAUUAACUCUCUCAAUUAACUCUCCCAAUUAACUCUCCCAAUUGACCCUCGUACAGCACCCCUCCUCGUCCCCUUCCUCCGGCACCGACAGCACCCACCUCGACCACCGUCGCCACUCCAAACCUCGAGGGUGGCGACCCAUGAGGCAAUAUUGGUGAUCGGAGCUGCUGUUCCCGACAGAGGCAGAGACGAAGAACGGGUUUCUCAGCAACGAAGAAGGCGUCCACGGCGAUGGUGUCGAGGUGGAAGGCACGAUGAUGCUACCGGUGGUGAGGGAGACGAUGUCGACCCACUCACAGCGAUGUCGAAUGUGACGAGAAGGAGGAGGAGGAGGACAACGAGAUCUGCACGAAUCGUUGCGGCCCUCUUGCUCCCGGCGCCGGCAAAGGCGGCGGCGGAGGAGGAGGACGAUGAGAGCGGCGACUCGCGGGCCUUUUUUUUGUGCGAAUGAGGCGAGGCUUCUUGGGGACGAAGGUGGAGGCGGAGGAGCCGGCGCCGAGGUUGGCGGUGGCGGUGGCGGUGAGCUGCUGGCGCUCGCGGCGGCGGGCGGCGGGCGGUGAGCGGCGGACUUGAUCGAGAGUAAUAAUGUUAAGUUGGAAGAGAAAGAAAGGAUAAUUUAAGGAAAUAGUUUAAUAAGAUAGGGGUAAAAUAGGUAUUUUAAUUAGGUUUUAACUCUGGAAUACAUUUAACUCAUGUUUAACCCGAGUUAGUUUAACAGGGGAUAACUGCGGGGGUAUUUUGGAAUAACGGUGGAACAUAUGAGGGGUAUUUUAGAAAGAAAAAAAAAAGUAGGGGUAAAUCGGAUAUAUUCAAACGCAUGAAGGGUAUAUUGGCAAUUAUCCCUAAAAAAAAAAAGGGACAGUCACAUGUUAGGCUUAACCCUAGCAUUGUACCAAGAGAUCAACAAAAAACAUUCCUCAUAUCUCUUAGUUGUCAUUCCGUUUUGCUAUUGAAUCCACUUUAGUGUUAAUUAUAUAAUAAAAUCUGACAAAAACCACUGUUACCACUAUUAAUCGACAUAGUAAAAUAAUUUGAUGUGACCAAGAUCCAUGUUAAUUAAUAACAGACGAAAAGAUAAGAAUCCGAUUGGGACCAUGCACCCCGAAUUGGCCUAAUCAACCACCAACAUGAACCAUCAGUGAUAGAGAUUAAUUAAAUCGGUCCCAAGAGGCUUUUAGAGACACAUCAACUCACUGUAUUAAGUGCUUUUGCUUAAUCAAAGAACCAAAAAACAAAAAAAAAAAAAGCAGUGUCCAAGAUGUGAAAAGCACAAGCACUGUAGCAUCAAAACCAUGUGAUAGCCCUCGAUCACUAAACAAUUACUUUCAUGUGGAUACAAAUGUAUAGACGUACGCUUAUUGGAAAGGUCCCAACACUUAACAUUAGACAAUAGAGAACACAAAAAAGAAAAGCUUUGGAAGGAAUGCUUUCAUGAACUAGCGUGGGACAGGAGGUGGUGGUGAUGUUAGUGGUCUUGCUUUGUGAAUAAUGUUAUAUGUAUCUAGCUUAUAAUGUUUCUCAUAAUUAACAUUGCUAAUUAAUGAAUCAACUUUUAACAAUUCAUUUGUAUAUAUAUAUAUAUAUUUAUAGAGUAAGUCUCGUGUACUUUCAAAAGUACAAAGAUCUCCGUGCUUGUAAGUUGUUUUCGAUGAUAGGAAAUCCGAUUCGACGAUCGGCUCCGUUAAAUAUAAUCUAUCUUAUUGGAACUAUUUAGAAACCAAAUUUUAUAACUUUUUGAUAUCAUUUACCAAGCGAUCAAAAUGUCUCAAAAAUGACGAUUUUAAUGGCCGAUGUGGCACGUUUUUAAGUUCAACGGUAUACAUAGAAGUAUCCAAAUUAGAUGAAAAUUUAAUAGAAAAUUCUACUUAACAUCAAUAGUAAGACCAAUACUUGCGAUUUGAAAUUUGAGUCCUUUAUCAUUGUUUUUUAUGAGAUUUUCAUUUUCAGCCGUUCAUUUUGAGGCUACUCGUUUACUAGACAAACGAAAUCAAAAAAUUAUGAAAUUUGGUUUCUAGGUAGUUCCAACAGUGUAGAUCAUGUCUAAUAGAACCGAUCGCCAAAUCGGAUGUCCCAUUAUUAAAAACAACUUACAAAUACGGAGGCUCCCGUACUUUCGAAAGCAUAAGAGCCUGGCUAUAUAUAUAUAUAUAUAUAUAUAUAAACUUAACUAAAAUAUAAAAUACUAUAGCUUCAAAUUGUAGAAUCUCGAAUGCCAGACCAUUAAAUUCUUAGUAUCUAUACUAAGUACGAUCGGAUUUUUUUGUUGCUAGUAUUUUUAUGGCAUAGAUGAUUUAUAUAGCAUUUCAAGCUGAACGUUUCAGUACGCGCUGACUAUAAAUAAUAUACAAUAAACUUUUUAAAAACUUUAUGUAUUUGAAAUUAUUAUGCAGUGCAUUUUACUCCUGCAUACCACCGCCCUAGAGCAAGUGGCUAAAAAGGCUUAUGUUGCUACCCAGACACAUAAGUGUCGUGACUGAUUGAUUCAUUUCCGUCGGCCUUAAGUUUAAUUUCUAAAUGAAAUAAACCGAAGCGGGGGUAGCGUGCUACUAUCCUUCUCAAAAAAAAAAUUCUCCUGCAUAAUCCCAUUGGCGUGCUAUUAAUUGGAUCACUAUUACUACAAUACAAUUUCAAACUCAAAUAAUUUAAGAACAAGCUUAUUGUUAUCGAAAAUCCGGUUCAAGUUAAAAAUUCUUAGUCUAAGAUAUAUUAUACUAUAUAUAUAUAUAUAUAUUAGCUUAUAAUUAUAUAUUUAUAAGUGUUGAAUUAAUCAAAGUUGUACAACUAGUUGGGAUAGAAAUUAAUAAGUGUGAUAAGUAUAUUGAUUAUCUUCUUUGGAUAUUUUGUAAAUGAUGGUUGUCGCGAUAGAGGCGAGCAACUUGUCCUUUAAAGGAGAAGAGGUUCGGCACCUGAAAACGCCUGAGUGAGAAUUAGAGGAGAUAUAUAUUUUUUUUUAAAAAAAAAGAAAUAAAAAGAAAAAGAGUAAAUAAAGAAGAGCGGCCACGCUUGAAAAGGAUGCUUUAUUUUUUGGGGAGUGGAAGAGCAGUGGAAACAUUAGAUUAAAAAAUAUAACAUAUAUAUAUAUAUAUAUAUAUAUAUAUAUAUAUAUAUAUAUAUAUAUAUAAUAUAUGGAGAGGUAGUGGAAACAUUAAUUAUUUCAUUAGAUUAAAUUAUAUAUAUAUAGUAUAUUAUAUAUUAAUUAUAUAUAUAUAUAUGUGAGACUACUAUGCUAUCGAAAGUAUGGAGCCUUUCGUGCUUCUAGCUCGUUUCGAUGUUGCGAUUUUCGAAUCGUGAUCGGCUCUGUUAAACUUGAUCUAGAAGUAUUUGAGUACAUAGAAAAUAAAUUUUUUAUUUUUCGAUAUCAUUUGCCUAGUGAUCGAAUGGGCUCAAAAUCAACAAAUUUCAAUGGCCGUAGUGAGCGCUUUGCAAGUUUAACGGUGUAAAAAUAUUCAAAUCAGCGUGAAAUUUUGAUGAAAAUUUUUUAUACUAUAUAAAACAAGAUCAAUAUCCUUGAUUUAAAAUUUUAAUGUCAUAUUAUUACAUUUUGUAGAUUUUUAUUUUCAGCGUUGAUUUUGAGCCUUCGUUCAUUAGGCAAAUGAUAUCGUAAAAUCAUAAAAUUAUUUUCUAGGUACUUCAAAUACUCUAGAUCAACUCUAACGGAUAUAUAUAUAUAUAUAUAUAUAUAUAUAAUAUAUAUAUAUAUUAGUUGCGGCUAGGAUGCUUAUGGAAGCACGGAGGGCUCCGUGCUUUCAUUUUGUUUUCGAUGUUCGACUUUCGAAUCGACGAUCGGCUCCGUUAGAGUUGAUUUAGAGUAUUUGAAUACCUAGAAAAUAAAUUUGUGAUUUUCGAUAUCAUUUGACUAGUGACGAAGGGGCUCAAAAUCAAUAAUUUUAAUGGCCGUAGUGAGCCGGUUGCAAGUUUAACGUGUAUAGAAUAUUCAAAUUACUGAAAUUUUGAUGAAAAUUCUUUAUACCAUAUAAAACAGAUCAAUAAUUUUUAUCUAAAAUUUUAAUUCAUUUCAUCAUAUUUUGUAAGAUUUUUAUUUUCAGCCAUUGAUUUGAGCCACUUCGAUCAUUAGCAAAUGAUAAUCGAAAAAUCGCUAAAUUUAUUUCUAGAUACUUCAAAUACUCUAGAUCACUCUAACGGAGCCGAUCGUCGGUUCGAAAGUCCGACAUCGAAAAUAACUUAGAAGCACGAGGACUCCGUGCUAUCAUAAACAUACUAGUCCACUAUAUAUAUAUAUAUAUAUAUAUAUAUUAUAAUAUAUAUAUAUAUAUAUAUAUAUAGCUCGCAACGGACUAAAAUAAAUGCUUCACUCUAUAUUUUAGGAGCUUGUGAAAGUUUUUAGACCAAAAGACAAUUCUUUUGGUAAUAGUAGAAAAAGAGAACAAAUAUUAUAAAAAUAUCGAGCUCGGUAAUUCAAUAGUAAAGUGUGUUGACACUAUUACUAGUCAAAAAAAAAAAAAAGACUAAAAUUGAGUACAUUAACUAAUUACAGAUAGUUAAUUGCAUUAAAGUAACAUAUGAAUGCUUGUUUUUUUCUCUCUCCAAAGAAAAUGCAAUUAAUAGAGUACUCCUAGUAAUUAACUUGAUCUCUUUGUAGCUCUUUGGCGAGUUAUGUAGAUAAUUUUGCAAAUAUAUUUUUAAAAAAGUAUUUUUGCACUGAUGUUAAUGGUCACUUGGAAUUCUUGUUAAGUUUUUCUUUUUUUAAAAAAUAAUUUGAUGGUGUUUAGUCGUCUUCAAUGCACGUGCCUAUCAUUUCACAUGGACCAUAAAACAUAAACCAAAUCAAAAUACCACAUAAGCUAAACAACACCAACAUUCGACAAACCAAUUAAUUAAGAUCCAUCAUCAAAAAAUAUUAUUUCACAUUUUAACAGUUUGGCUCAACUUUAGCAUUUACUUUUAGCUUAUGUAAACACUGGUAGUGUAUUUGACAGAUAGAGAAAGAUAAACCUUUUGUUAUGGAGUGAAGCAUAGAAAUAAUAUUGUUGAGUCUAAAAAUAGAGUUCAAUUUGAUAUUUUUAGUUUUGUUCCAUAUAGAAUGAAAAUUUUGGAGGUGAUAAUAUAGGAGUCCAGCUUCUAUUCUCUUAAUAUGAUAAAAGUUUUUGUUCUAUCAAGUUCUUUUGUUUAAUCGAGACUCUAAAUUGAGAAUUGACACUGUUGCAAUUGAUCUACACUAUUAGAAACAUUUAGAAAUUUUGAAUUUUGUAAUUUUGAAAAAGUCCAUCAAAGAGUCAAAAAAUGAACAGUAAAAAAUAAAUAAUUUUUUAAAAAUAAAGGCUAGACUUUUUAAUUCAUGAUCAGAAUUAUCAAACGUUAUCUACGUAGUAUAAAAAAAUUUCUAUUAAAAAUUCAAGUAAUUUGAAUUGCUCUAUACCGUUAAACAAGCAAAAAGCUCAUAUGGGCCAUUAAAAACUAUAAAUUUUGCAAUCAUUUAUAUUAAAAAUUCAAGCGAUUUGAAUUGCCCUACGUGCGAGUGUACAUUGGAACCUAAUAAAAAAUUCAAAAUCAACAACAAUAUAUAUAUAUAUAUAUAUAUAUAUAGAGAGAGAGAGAGAGAGAGAGAGGCUGGUAUGCUUCUGAAAGUCCAAAUUGUUUUUAAUUUGAUCUAGAGUAUUUGAAAUAUAUAGAAAAUAAAUUUUAUGAUUUUUUAAUAUUACUUGCCUAGUGAUCGAAGGGUUAAAAAUCAAUAAUUUUAAUGACCGUGACGAACUGUUUGCAAGUUUAACGGUAUAAAAAUAUUCAAAUCGCGUGAAAUUUUGAUAGAAAAUUUUCUAUACUAUAUAAAACAAGAUCAAUAUAUUUGAUCUAAAAUUUUAACUUUAUAUCAUCACAUUUUAUAAAAUUUUUAUUUUCAGCUAUUGAUUUUGAUCUAUUUCGAUUACUAGGCAGAUGAUAUCAAAAAAUCACAAAAUUUAUUUUUUAAGUACUUCAAAUAUUUUAGAUUGAGUUUAACGGAACCAAUCGUCGAUUCGAAAGUUUCAACAUCGAAAACGAUUUGAAAAUACGAAAGGCUCCAUGCAAGUAUACCAGCCACACUUUAUAUAUAUAUAUUGCCGUCACUGGAUGUUUAAGCACAUCUCACACACCGUCCUCGAUAAAUACCAUGAUAGUGGUUGAAUAAUUGACGCCUAUUUACUCACUAAUACGUACAAAAAACAAUAGAAUUUUCAAACUAAAACUCUAAAUCACAUCUAUCUAUUGCCGAAAAUUAGAUGCGAAUCGUGAGGCAUUCGGACACACCGGGUGCAGGUAUUUCUCAGAAGGCUAAAUUAAACUUUUGUUUCUCAAACUACGGCGCAUGCUAUUUUGGCCUUUUUGGUUCGAGUUUUUUAAAUUAUUAUAAUUAAAUUUCAUAGUCUAACUUAGUUAACUAGAUAUUAAUAUAUCGAAAAAUAAAAAUAAUGAAAUAGUAUUGUGAUUAAUGAUAUGACAAUAAUUCAGGUAUCACAUUACUUCUACCGUUGCUGACUUUGUCUUCCUUUUAUUUUUUCACUUGUAUAACUUAAUUAUAAUAAUAAUAAAAUUUGAAUAAAAAAUUAUUAUAAAUAAAAAAUUGAGUAUUAUAAUAUCACCUCUCUUGUAGUGUAAUGUGUGAGGAUCAAAAGUAUAGCUUAGCCUUCUGUAGAAAGAACUGGGACUCACUCGACCCCCUCGUCCGUCCUAUCUAUAAUACCCAUCUCGCUUCAUUUAUAUUAUUUAAAAAUAAAUUUAAUUAAAAAUAUAAAUCAAUUAAAAUUAGUAUUUAAGAUUUUAAAUAUCAAUCAUCAAAUUUUUUAUCACCUGCACUAAGUACGAUCGUUAUACCUCAAUUAUUUAUGAUCUUACAUUUGUAGUGCCACAUUGGCGCCAAAUUAAUGGACCUGGUCAGGAUCAGCAUUCCCCGCCGAUUCGCUUUCCUAGUGCGCUCGAGGUUGUCGUGUCCGACCCAAUAAAGAGACCCCACCACAUUCGUACCCACGCCCCAUCACCCUCCAUCUUGUCAUAUCCCUACUUACAUGUCCACCACCCACACAUCGAUUUAAGGUUAAAAUUGUAAUUCAAAAAUGAAAACUGUUUUUUUUUUUUGAAAAAAAAAAACCUCCAAAACCUUUUUAAUUACAGGCCAUUUUAGAAAAAGUAUUGCCACAAAUUAAUUUCUCUAAAUGUUGACUCUUCUCGAUUGCUGACGUGUUAAAAAUAUACAUAGUAUAAGAGGUUUCAAAUUAUUAUUUUUUUAAAUAAUAAAGUUUGCUUGUUGAUUCUCACCAAAUGAUCAAUCAAAUUAAGUAAUUACACUCACUCACAUAGUCACAUUCUCUCUUGUAAGGGGUCAUCAAUUAAUAAACUAUGAUAUCCAUUAGAGAGAAUAAGGAGGGGUAAUUAAACUAAAUUAAAUCAGCAACAGCUGAGACAUAAUCGAACAUUCUACAGAAAGUGACAAAAAGUUUGAUGAUUGAUACUCGAGCUUCCAAAUUUGAAUUCUAAUUAAUUUACAUUUCAAACUAAGUGUAUUCCUAAAUGAAAUAAACAAAAAUUACCUUAUCUCUCUAANAAAAAAAAAAAAAACACAGCUGAGACAUAAUAACGUCUUAUUCAGAGAUUGCUCGUGGGGGCUACUGCUACUCCCCAGUCCCCUCCUCCUCACUCGUAUUUAGACCCCCCCACCACUCCUCACUUCACCACCACCACCACCACCCUCUCACCACCUUAAUCACUCAAUAUCACUCUCCUUUCAUAAGUUAAAGGAGGAAUAUAUAUAAAAAUAUAUACACGCGCGCGUGUGUGUGUAUACAUAUAUACUGACUAGGUGGUGUUAGCUGCAGCAGCGGCGGCGGUCGGUAAGAAAUGGCGGAUGCGAAUGCGAAGCAGAUAUGCGGCGUGCCGGAGAGGGUCCAGCUGCAUGUGGCCAUGCUGGCCCUCCAGUUCGGCUACGCUGGCUUCCACAUCGUGUCGCGGCUCGCGCUCAACAUGGGGAUCAGCAAGGUCGUGUUCCCGGUCUACCGGAACAUCAUCGCCUUGAUCCUCCUCAUUCCCUUCGCAUAUUUCCUCGAAAAGUACGAUCACUUUUUUUUGAGAGAUACAUAGCGUGCUACUGAGAAAUAGGAAUUAAUUAAAAUUCGAAUUUGGAAUCUCGAAUAUCAACUAUCAAAUAUUUUGUCACUUGCUUGGCGCUAGAGCUGAUCGAUAGUACAAUUACUUUCUGAUCACUGAUCACUGCAUGUACAGUAACGUACAAAUUAGUAAACAACAAGCAAAUUCAACGAAUGUAUAUAUACGCGUGACAAAAAUAUAGUUUCAUUUUAUUUUUUCUUUCAUGCAAAAAAAAAAAUGAAGUAAUAAUUCAUUAAUUACAUGUUCAAUUUAUUUUUGUAGGAAGGACAGGCCCGCCAUCACACUUAACUUCCUCGUUCAAUUCUUCCUGCUUGCGCUCUGCGGGUAAUUAAUUAAUUAACAUAUAUUUGGCACUAAUUACUCAGAUUGAUUUGAGAAUUUUAAUCUUCGUAUUUAUGUACGCAACAUAUAUAGUAUAACUGCGAACCAAGGAUUCUACUUACUGGGUUUGGACAACACUUCCCCGACCUUCGCAUCCGCGAUCCAAAACUCCGUCCCCGCCAUCACCUUCCUCAUGGCCGCUGCUCUGAGGUGACUGUUUUGCUUUAAAAGUUUAAACUAUCAGAGAACAGUAUUUUAAUUAACCUUUUUUCCGCCGCAGGAUCGAGAAGGUGCGUCUCGACCGCCGCGAUGGCAUCGCGAAGCUCGUGGGCACGCUGGCCUGCGUCGCGGGCGCGUCGGUGAUAACCCUCUACAAAGGCCCGACCAUAUUCACGCCCUCGCACAACGUAAACAGCAACAACGCCGUCGCCGCCGCCGCUGUCGAAGCGUCGGAAAAGGCGCUCCUGUGGGUGAACGAUCCCAAGGGGAAGAACUGGACGCUGGGGUGCUUGUACCUGAUCGGGCACUGCUUGUCGUGGUCGGGGUGGCUGGUGCUGCAAGCCCCCGUGCUGAAGAAGUACCCGGCGCGGCUCUCCGUCACGUCGUAUACGUGCUUCUUCGGCGUGAUACAGUUUCUGAUCAUUGCGGCGUUCAUCGAGAGAGACGCAGAGGCUUGGAUUUUCCACUCCGGCUCGGAGCUCUUCACUAUCCUCUAUGCGGUAAUAAGAGUUUUACUUGGUGUGUUUAUGUUACGUACCUGCAUGCUAGUAGUGCUUCAUGGCACAGAAGUUUUAACUUAAACUUUUUAAUUCACAAAUAAGAAUUAAUAUAGUAGUGCUUCUUCUAAUAGCACUAUUCUAAUUGCAUUUUACUCGGCCUUUUAGCAAUAUUGUUAAAUAAUUCCUUACAUAGCAGAAGUAAAAGUGAAAAGUGAAAAGUGAAGCUUAAAUGAUUAUUUGACAACCUAUUCUGAACGAGAAAAAUUUUAAAAAGAAAAUUUCUAAAUGCUCCUGGUUUUACUAUUUGGAAGCAGAAAAAAUAUUUGAAAAAAAACAGAUACAGUUAUUUCUGAGCAUAACUAAUUGCGAUCUCAUUAUGACGUGUCUAAGCUUAUAAUAUGCAGUGCUAUGAUCGGUCACAACAGCCUAAAAGUAUGCACCAACUCCAAAGGUUUCUGAAAUGGAUAUUUAGUUAAGGAAUGUCCGUAGUGAGUUGUGUUAUCUUUUUCACCUUUUUUUUUGACCCAUAUGGUGAUGGCAUAGAUGGAAAUGGACCAAACAAAUUAAAUAAAUAAUAUAUAGAAAGUUGGUGUGGCAAUUGUAUCCUUCUUUGGAAGGAGGAAAGAGAAAGAAGGGAGAGAGAGUGAGAGAGAGCUACAGGAAGUGCUCCUUUGCUUUGCUUCUCUACUUGGUCAGAAGCUUUAAAUGAAUUGGUUAAAGCUACCUUUGGACUUAGCUUUUCCACUUCAGAGGUGUGAAAUCUAAUAUUAAAACAUAUAUGUAGCAUAAAGUUGAAAUUAGUGGUAAACAUAAUGGGAUAAGCCUUUCUUUUAUGCCUUCGCUUUAACUUUAUUCAUAAUAAUACUAGCUAGUUAUAAUUACAAGUAUAAUAAAUUGCAAGGGCUCCAUUAUAUAAUCUUUUGAUGUGCAAAUGACAUCAUUAGAGGAGAAAGGAUUUCCUUUUGGUCAUGCCUACACUGUUUCACCAGAUGAAAAGAGCACCAAAAAAUUCCUCUUCAAAGGGGGCAUGUGCCAGAAUACAUACUCAUUUGUCAUCAUGCUGUACUUGCCAGAGUGUUAUGAUCACAUGGCAGCAACAGCUUCCUUUGAUUCCUCCAUGGAGUACAGCAAAUCUUUCAGGGUGUGCACCCUAGUUAUCUAGUGGAUGAGCAACUUAAUUUGGUCCCCCACAAAACAAAAAAGAAAAGGAAAAAAAAGAAGAAAGAAAUCUUACUUUUUCUAAAGUUAGGUAGAUAGAGCGCAGAAGGAUUUGAGUAGGUCUUGAGUUCGAGUCUCAUUUACAGAAACGAAAAAAAUAGAAAGAAAAAGAAAAACUAGUAGUAACAUAAUGCAUUACUUGCGUCGAGCAUCUUUACUAAGCUCAAAUAUAUAUAUGAACUCAUUUUUUAGGGUUUCAUUGCGUCUGGAGUGGCGUUCGCAGUCCAGAUAUGGUGCAUCGACCGUGGCGGUCCUGUGUUUGUGGCCGUUUAUCAACCCGUCCAGACUCUCGUCGUCGCCAUCAUGGCCUCUAUCGCUCUCGGAGAGCAAUUCUACCUCGGAGGGUACCGAAUCGAAAUAACUAAUCUAACUGCACAUAAAAUAGCAAGCAUGAAAUUUCUAAUUUGCUUCUUUUUGCUAUUGAUCUUUUUGGUGCAGGAUCAUUGGAGCCAUAUUGAUCAUAAUUGGGCUAUACUUGGUUCUCUGGGGCAAAAGUGAGGAGAGGGCAUUUGCUAUAAAAGAGGCAAUAAUUUUGGCUUCCUCAAACAGUGAAGAUAACAGCCAUAGAGCAAGUGCUGUUUCCUUCAAGGCUUCUUCCCUGAAUCAACCACUACUUCCCUCAUCUACCUCGGAAAGCGUGUGACAAGAACUAUAAUUAAUCCCUCUCUUGGAGAUCUAUGUAUGGGCUCAUGUUUAUGUUUACGCAAUAUUUAAUGUUGUGAAGAAGCAAGUUAAGAAUGGGGUUGUAGUGUGUGAGAGCAUAGACUUAGAUUUGUUUACUCAAAAGUUAACUACUACUACUAGGGUUUACUCACUGCAGUUGAUGGGUUGGUGCACAGUGAGUGCUAGAAGGAUUGUGUUGGUAGCUACUAGAUCUUUGUUCAAAAGAAGCUAUGAGGUUUGCAUUUGGUUUGUUAUGUUCUUGUCCUUUUCUCUUCCCAUGCUUGUGAGUGGCAAACUUGCAAAAGAGAAUCAAGCAUCUAUUUUGUCCUUUAGCUUGAUAUAUAUUAUUGAGUGAUUGAUAAGAUAAAAGAGUUACUGGAGAUCUACAUACAUAGAUAGGAAUAUAUAUUUCUACUUGACCAGUCCUCUCAGUUUCUGAAAAUGUUUCUCAGAAUAUUAUUAAUGAUCAUCCUAGCAUAUACAUGCAGAUCAUAGUGAGUAAUUUAGAUUUUUCGAAUUUUUGUGACCAUGUUUUCAUUUCAUUAUAUAUGAUCUCUAUUUAUUUUUGGCACACAAAGAAUAUUAUCUCACUCAUGUAAGUAUAUAUCCUUUUUCACGUCUGAAAUAACCGAACCGCUUAAUUAAUAGCUUCCAUGCAUGUAUAGGAAGCAGAUUUUUCAAAAACAUUCUGCGGAAGUAUGCGAGGCUGGUUGAUUUGUCGACAACAUUAACUUUGAGAUAUAUUAUUGCACAUACAUUACUCUAUGUCGGUUUUUCACUCCGAACACCAUUUUUUCUUAAGAUUGUAAGUGAGGAAAAAGAAAAGAGAGAAAAACAGUCAUAUGCAUUUAGAAGCAUAUAUUUAGAUGGCCCUGUUAAUGAUGAAAGGUGAGAAACACAAUGAAGCAUUAUAUAUCUUAUCUUUCACUAUUAAAUACCUAAUUGGAGGUUCCAAAGUCCCUUUGCAGUCUCUGUCACGCAUGAUCCACUAACUUGUACAAUAUUUGACCUGAACAUGACUUCUUUGUGAAGGCUCUAGAAGACCUUUGAUUCUUUGUUCUUAAUUGUGCCCCACUCAUAUUCCAGAGCAAUCAAAUGCUAUGCUUUCUUUCUUCUUCUUUUGUUUUUUGUUUCUUUAUGCAACUUUACAUAGGGGGGAAAUUUGAGGUGUCAUAUAUGGAGGGGUUAGUUAAUUUUGUGAUCUUAAGAGUGGUAUCAGUCCUCAAAGCUGGUACUUUACUAAUCAAAAUUCUAGUUUAUUAAAGAGGUUUUAAAAAGUGGUGGUGGUGUUUUGGGGUUCAGAAAAUAUUAAUAGUUGAUUUUAAUGCUAUGAUAACUAGAUUGUAUUUUGUGAUAACUAAUGCUUUAUUACCUUCAUGUACACAACAAGAUAAAGGAUAGGACAAAGAAGAGCAGGAGAAAUGUGAAAGUAUCACUGCUUUAGCCUAGCUUGUUGGCUUUAGCUGUUAAAGCUGAGAGGUCUAAUGGAAUAAUCCCAAACAAACUUGACUUGAAUUAGAUCCAAAUCACAAAUCCAGAUACGAGAUUUAGUUUUUUUUUUUUUUUUUUUUUUAGUGAUUGUUUUGUAUGGUAUUAGAGCUGGAGAUUCUGAAUUCUCUAUCAGGUGAAGACCGUUGAGGCUCUCCACGUCUUCAUGUUUUAUCAAGAAAUUCGCCAAAAUCUUUUCCAUUACUUUUUAAAUUCCCUCCAGCAAGGGAUGCUUUGCUUGCUUACAAUUCUAUAAUUUCUGUAUAAUUCAAUUUUUUUUCACUUCAUGAAUCAGGGCUUGAUCCUUAAGAUUCGCAGAUAUUAAAAAAGAAUCAUAAAAAAAAUACUUCCAUUUGAUGUAGUCUUAAUUAACAUGUACAAUUAUGAAUGCUGGUUGAAAUAAUAAGUUUUCAAAUUUAAAAACAAUUCAAAAAAGUUGGGCUUCUUAAGUGAGGCCCAAUUCCAACUUAAAUUUAUGGGCUUCGUGGACCAAGCACCACAGCAGGCCCAUAUUAAUUUAUGGCCCUGGCCCCUUUUGGGAUCACAUGGAGAUUGCGCUACCACAUUCUUUUACAUGCUUUCACUCAAACUCUAUUUUAUUUAUUAGCAUUUAAUAUACAUUCAUUCAUACCAAAUGAGUCUCUCUUCUUGUUUGGAAACAACGAAUGACACGUGUAGCGUGGACCUGGUUCACCAGUAAGCCAAAAGCCAACCCAAGUUUUUAAUCUUAGAGGUCGCAAAAUCUGAAAUAACCAAUGGAUGCAAUCUCUUGUUAUGAAGAAUCUAUCUACAUCUAAAAAAUUAUAAAGUUCAAAAAACCUUGAGGAGUAUGUUUUCUUAUUUUUAGUGGUUAUAGAGUUUCUUUUUUUUUUUUUUGAGAGAGAGAUAGGUAGCACGCUACCCGCUUCGUUUAUUUCAUUUAGAAAUAAACUUAGCUGGAAAUGUGAAUCAACUAGGAUUCAAACUUGGGCCUCGGAUACCAACUACCAAGCCCCUUACCACUUGCUCUAGGGAUGCUCUAGGGAUGGUAGUGGUUAUAGAGUUUCGAGUGUUGAAAGGUUAGUAGUCCACGGUAGACCCGGUCCUGGCAAAUGAAUUUUCCAUAGUCGGAACGUAGGCGGAACGCUCACAGCGGUCUCCAUAUGGAAUGGGUUUUAGUCCCACAUCGACUAGCGAGUGCUCUUUUCAGUCGCCAGGAUGCAUAAGAAGGGUGGGGUGUGGAUCAUUUUUCCAUACUUACCUGGACGGGGUCUAUGGGCGAUCAAGAAGGUCCAUGGCCUAGGCCCGCGGCCCGCAUUGCACUUUGUGGGUGCGCUGGCCUACCAUCUCCCCAAGUGGGAGAGUGGACGUCAUAAUUUGUGGUAGAGGGGGUACGCGCCACGCGCGGCCCCUGCCAAUUCAAAAGAUUUAAAUUUUUUAAAAUUUUAAAGUUUCAAAAGAUUAGAUAGUAUAAUUUAUAAUUUAUUUGAAAUCAUAAAUUAUUUUUAUGAAUGAAUGUUUAUUGUUUAUAAUUUUAGUUGUAUUGUUUAUUUUUUAAUUAAUUUUAAUUCUGGGGAGUAAAUAGUAUAUUUUGAUUUGAUUUUAAAAUUUAAGUGUUUCAGUUUUUGCAUGAAUAAAUUUUAAAGUUAAAAGUA
rnacentral:lncRNA from 1 species